rnacentral:lncRNA from 1 species
UUUCUCCAUCUCCUUACAUACAUACAUCUGCUCAAAAAUUUCUUGAGGCAAUCCGAAUCAAGAAUGAAGCUGGUCAACUCAUUCAUUCAUUCAUGCACUACAAAUCACUGCACUGGAUAAAGUCCAAAUCAUCCUACCAACCGAAUCAUGAUUAACAACUCAAGCAAUAUGUGGCACAACAAAAUUCAGACAACGCAUAUCUCAAAAAGAUGAAGCUAAUCCAACACCAGGAGAAACUGAUAACUAAGCUGAUGAUUAUAAUCCAAGACGAACAACCAUCUUCUUAGAUGAGCCUGAAUGGUCACAGGUCAUCGACACACAUCUCAUUUGUACAGUGGCCUGCAGAGGAGAAACUUCACACUACCAGCAAAACACUAUAAGAUUCUUGGUCUAGCACCCAGCAACCCAAAACAACAAACUCGGAUUACAGACACUAGAAACAUAAAAGGAAAAUCAAUCCAUCUUCUAACCAUCCCGGAUGAUCAAACUUCCAGUGGCUGUGGGUCGACCAUUUCUAGACUUCUUUGCCAUCCUCAUCAUCAAGUCAGGCUGUUCCUGGGCAGAGUGAAAGAACAAGAUUAAUUAGUGGCCAAGUAAACCCACCGCAACGACUAGCACGACAACACACCUGCAAUGGACAUGAAAAAACAAGAGAAAAUAGCUUACUCCAAACACAUACAAAGUGGUGCGGUGCACUGUACACCUAUGCAAUGGCAUCAAACAAAACAAAAAAGCAUGAUCCAUCCAUUCAUCCCAAAUCAACAACUCUGUUGGGAAACCAGAAAUUCAUUCAUGCAUGCAUCCAAAUUCCUUCCAUUCGAAUUCAUCAUGCCAAUCGAACAUGUUCCACAGCAAUCUUGCUUGGCGCUUCAGCACAAUUCUCAGAGCAAGAAGCUAAUUUGAACACCACAACAUACUAAGAAGCCGAAGAAUUCUGGGCACUCAUCACACCGAAUAGAGCGAGACGAGCCACUUCAGCUUGACGACCAACUCCAGGUGGCCGUUGAGCGUGUCAAGUUCCCUCCGUGCCUUCUAACAACCGCGACUUCCAUGCCUUUCUUCAGAUUUAGAUACAUAUGCUCUCUCUCUCUCUCUCUCUCUCUCUCUCUCUCCUGUAAUAAUAUCCAAAGAACCAACUCAGGUAUGCUAUAACUGCUUAAAAUGCCAAACUAAACUCUUGUAGGACCAAAACAACAGUAGAUGGUCAAGUGAGCAGUACAAGAUCAAGUAGCAGCAGCAGUAGAAGAUCAGAGCAAACAACCACAUCAUACAUCAAGUAAGGAUCAGAGAUCCCGAUUAAGCCGAUCCAUUUAACAGCAACCACUACCAGCAAGAUCAGAGUGACAAAGGUUAAAGCCCAGCCCAUCCUGCUACUGUCACAGGCAAACAAUUACUCUAGAUUGUGCACAAUUCAGAUCCAGUACUGCUUCAUGACAAGUGUUGGAUGUCAUAUUCGAAAGGUAAAAUUUGGUAGAACAGAAUUUUAUUUUAUUUUCCUUUAUAUAAAACUCCAACACACAAAUACAUUUUACUAGCACAUAUGCCUGUGCAUUACAACGCGGAAAACAUUUUCUUUUUUGUGCGGUAGAAAUAUAUUACCGAGAUUUGAUGGACUGAAGUUGUGGAAUAUCCCAUCUGAGCACUUCAUUCCCCUCUCAUGCCUCCUAAAGACGCCCUUGGUAUCAGUUCUGCUGGUGGUAGUAAUCUUGUACCUCCAAAGAAAUAUAGUACAAGAAAAUUUCAGCCCUGUAAAUAAAUUUCAAAAGGCAGACUUGUUUAAUGAGAUAAUGCACAAAAACACAAACUGAACCGUGCAAAAUGGAAUACAUCAAUUAUUAUUUGCCAGAACAAUAAAAUUUUGAGGGCUUAUGAAAAAAAUCCAGAAAGAAGUAUCAACACUGAGAAGAACGCUUCUGCUUGCAUACUAAUUAAGUAGGACAUGAGGAAAAAGAGAAAAAAAGUGUGGAGUUCAAAGAAAGUAAGAUCAAGCAGAAAACAAUAACCUUGUAUCUCAUUUAUUAAAUUUAAUUCAUCAGGAUUCAUAACACAGCGUAAACCACAAGAAUAGAGAUUGCUUGAUGAUAAAAAACACAAGAUGUGUAUUUUACGAUGUUGAUCUCAACAGUGUAGAGGCCAAAAAGCCUGAAGGAAACGGUCGGUGCAUCUGCUCUGUUUCUUUAGAGCUACAAGACCAAAGAUGAAGCGUAUGUUGCCACUGAUAUGAACUACUUGCAGACAUCAAUUCCAUAUGAAGCAAGAACAGGUAUGUCAUCUACACAAGAAAACCAUGCAGUCCGAUCUUAUGCUAGAAAAUUGUGCUUUGUCGUUCUCCUGGUCGCCAAGGUACACCAUCAAGAACUGAGGGAAAAACUCAGUUCAAUUUUCUGAAAACGUGCCUGUCUGGUCGCCAGGGUACACACAUCCAGUUUACAUGAAGACUUUACACGGUGGUCUGCGGUGCACCUCUGCGUGAGGAAACCGAAUCAGCCCGACCAAAUCGAAACGAACCAGUUGCAAACCAUGAGGGAGGCUAGCGAAGUCGUCACCUUGGCAACAGUGGGACUUGAUGGUGGGCGACCUUGAUCGGAGCAGCCUCCCUUUGGCCCCAUUCACCGAUUCACGAGACCAGAUCGGAGAAAACUGGACACAAAUAAUAAGCAAGCGCAAUCAGAAAGAGGAGAUGAAGAAAAUCAACCAGAAGAAGAGAAGGGGAGGAGGGAUUCAUACCAUACCACCCUUGCCAGUGCCAAGGUGUUGUCUUGGCGGAGAGGUCUGUGCUGCGCUCGGUCGCCAUGGCCGCGGGCUAGGGUUUCCGGGGCGAGGAGGGAGCGGCGUUGUGGAGGCUGGACGCUGCAGUCAGCUAGGGAGCGGAAGGAGGAGGGUGCGGUGGCGGUGGGAGGAGGAGUCCUCCUCUGCCGGUGCGUGGUUGCCGCGGCCAGAUCUACUACUCGGGUGGGUCUGGCGCCUAGUUAGGAAAGGAGAAGAGGGUGGGGACGCCGGUGGUGCUAGGGGCGUUGAGAUCGCCGGUGGGGCUGGGGGAGACGAGGACGCCGGCGGCUGCUUUGGGGAGACGAGGACGCCGGCGGCUGCUGGGGUUGGGGGGAAUCGAGAGGAGGAGGAGGAGGAGGAAGACAGAAGCGGCGGGCUGGUUUGGGUUUUCUGGGCCAAUGCACUCCCACUCCCUAUGGUUUGGUUCUUUUGGUGGGUUGGUUGGUUGGUUGGACUUUCACUUUGGUUUGGUUUGGUUUGGUUCGAAAUGAGGGAGCGCGGGACUAUGCGCGCGGGAGCACCAAACUUUUCGGAGAGAUAGUGGCGUGCGCGGGAGCACCACCAUAUUUCGGAGACCGUGCCGUGCGCGGGAGCACCAUCAUAUUUCGGACACAGCGCCGCUCACGGGAGCACAUUGUUUGGCGGGUGGGGUUAAUUUUCAUUCUAGUUUGUGAACAUGAGCGCGGGCAUUCGAAUUUUCACGGCGGGAAAAGUGGUACUCCUCUGUCCCGGUGCAUUAUAUGCAUCUAAUGAAAAUCAAAUAAUCGCAGAACGCCAAGGCGCGAAGCAGUAGUACUAGUUGCAUGCUUAUUAAGUAGACCCAUCCACUAACAUCAGUGCACCGUAUUUUUAAAUCCCGUAUAUUUUGUCUUACUUCAUAUUCCUUCUAUUCCAUAAUGUAGCGCGUCCACGCUUUUUGAGAUUUAAGUUUGGGCAUAAAUUUAACCAAUGUGACCGAUUUACCAUUGAAUUCGUAUUCGCAAGAAGUUUUCAAUGGUAUUAAUUUUUGCUCCAGCCGCAGUCGCCCACGUUGGUUAAAUUUAUGGUCAAACUUAAAUCUCAAAAAGCGUGGGCGCAGUAUAUUAUGGAAUGGAGGGAGUACGUAAAAAAGAGAACGUAAGAAAAUAUACAUCAUCGUAAAAAAUAUUUUAUGCUAUGUAAAAUUACAAACAUAAAAUCAUAGUGUAAAAUUUAUAUAAAUCACAAAUUUUUCUAGUCUUAUGACCUAUAUUUUUGUUUUUUCUUAUGUCAUAUUUUAUGUCGUGAAUCAAUAUGAAUGUAACUAUAUAUUUGUAUAUCAAAUAAAUUUUAUCUAUGAAAUGACUUAACCAAGUAAGGAAAACUAAAUCAAAUCCUCCGUCUUAAUAAGCUAUUUUCUUUCCUUGGUCCUUCAAUAAUUGUGGCUAAUAGCCAUGCAAUCCAAGACUAUGGAGCAUACCAAGAAGAAUAUAAGAAUUAAUUAUCCCAAAAAUGUGUGUAAAGACUUCGAGUUAAUCACACGAGGAUGAAAAGGUACACUAAUAAGGGAAUGAGCCAUUUAAUGUACGUUUGUUAUUUUCUACUCCCUCCGUCUCAUAGUGUAAGACGUUUUUUGACACUAUUUUUUAACACUGUAGUGUCAAAAAACGUCUUACACUAUGGGACGGAGGGAGUAGCAUAAAACAAAACUUUUUUUAAAACACCAUAGACAUUCGUGAAAAUGUUGAUUUAUAACGAACAAAUUGCAUUGAAAUGAUAAACCUCGUGUUUUGUAAUUUUUUAAAUCUUAAAAAAAUAAAACCACAAAUGAGUUGUAAUUCAUGUAGUUGUUCGUAACAUCCAGUUCGCUCCAUUACGUGAUGCAUAUUCCCUCGCACCCAUAUUGUUUCGCUUCGCCAAGCUUGACAUUUGCUCGGUAGGCCUCACUUUGUAUGAGUUUCGCUCCUUCUCAUUAAUUUGUACUUAUAACUCACUUGCUAAUUUAAUUGUCCCGCGUCGCUUCUCGUUGUCAUCGACUCUUUCUCCUUGCUUGUAACAACCUAAUUACCCAACAAGCAACGGUGUCAUGUCAUCCAGUACACCCUCGGUGCACAUCUAUGUGAAAACAAUUAAUAAACAUAAUAAGAUGAAAAAGAUAGACAUUAGGCAUCCCAUCACAUAAAAUGACAACUCAUCCUGAAUUAUGCUAACUAAGAGGAGGAUGUUGAGAAAUGCUUGUUAUCAAACACUAUUCCUCUCGUGCCCUUGAUGCACACGAUAAUUCUUAUAAUGUGAACACUAUGGCAACCACAUAUAAUUUAAAAAUAAUUAUGGGAAUUGUACCAUAUACAUUUGAUCUAGUUUCAAAAUUGCCAUAUAUUUGGUGAUACUUAAAACCCACUCAUAUUUGGCGAUAUUUGAUCUAGUUCAAAAUAAGUCAUAUAUACUUGAAUUGCAAGAGCAACUACGCACCCACGACACAUGCCUUAAACAUUCUAGAGCUUUUGAAUUUGAUUAUUUCCAAUGGAAAGAGGCCAUCAUGGGUGGUAGUGUACCAUAUUAAAACAAUUGCUACGACGAAGGUGCAAAGUCAAAGGGCCACCAACAUGUAAGUUUCUUAUGUCACCUAGAGGGUUGGCGGUACAAAAUUAUUUGUCUAUUUUCUGGGAGAGAGCAUUGAUCAUGUUGUCCUUGCAUUCUUCUUGGAGAAGCAUACGACAUUAUCCAUGCCUCUCUCGACGCGCCACUCUCCCCUUCUUCCUUGGCAGUUGGCCGUCCUUCUUCGUGGCUAGGAACAAACUCGGUUGGCGCAGAUGGUGGGGAAGGGUUAUAUUACAUCCGCCGCGCUGGGGUUGUGCCCAAGAACACUAGAGCCAUGCCUCUUCAAUUGUUAAUGUAUUUGUGCUCUAGUCCGCCUCCUUGACCGGUCGCCUGCAUGAACGCAGGAGCAGUCCCCUCCAGUGAGUUAUUGGUCUAUCUCCUCCACCGUCACCUCUAGUCUGAUCACGCAACUCGCGACAUGCCCUCCCGACAGGCCAUGCGAGGAGUUGCGGCGGCUGGCGUGAAUUGUGGCGGUUGCGAAUUAAUGGAGGGAAAAAAGGUUUUGACGAGCUUGUGUCUAUAGGGGUCGGUGUCGUUGCUCGUUGAUUACUAGAUAGCGAGUUGAGUAGGAAAUGUAACGAGCGAUGCUUACUUAGUGGAGCCGCAUGAAAUUAGGUACUCUCUCUGUAAAGAAAUAUAAGAGCAUGAUCUAAACACUCUUAUAUUUCUUUACAUUGGGAGUACUUGCACUAGGUUGAUGGCUGAUGCGUGCCCAUAACGUGGAUUGUUAAAUUAUCAAAGAUGAUGCAUUUGGCUAGCAUGGAGGGAGUUCAUGUAACACCAACAGUGGACUUUGGGUUCUUUACCCCCCCCCCCCUUUCUAUAAAGUAUGAUAUGCACAUUCGUGCAUAUUCGUGAGAAAAAGGGAGUUCACGUAGUACGUGCAUGCCUAAUCACACAUGUGUACGUAGGUGCAUGCACUGUUGCUUUGUGUUUUUAACUAUCCAUCAUUCUCUCUCAUAUAUCCCCUAAUCUUCGUCUACCAGAUUUAAAAUGAUUAUACGUUUUCUAAUCAAGGGCUUGACAUUUGAACCAUUUGAAAUCUCUGAGCCACAUGUAAUGGUAUAUUUGAGAAGAUACCAAUAUUGUACUUUCUUGCAUGCACUUAAAACAAGAACCAACUCUAACCGUCGUGAACAUGCCGCAAAAAAAAGGAACAUGAUUGUUUGCUCUGAUGUGUUUGACAUUUCUUCGCCGCCCACUUUGCCUCGUAGCAUCGCCCUGUCAUCCAUUCAAUAGAUAGGAGGGGCUUUUGGGGAAUUUAUGAGAGAAAGGGUCGUGGGGUGGGUAACAAAUUCAGCCAUUCAGUAAUGAAUGAAAUUGUGGAUCGUCACUACAAGAAAUAUGUCAACUUGUGACCCUCACUAUUGGCCGCUGAAAGGUCAUUGUUUUUCAUUUGCGACCUUUUUUGACCAAAAACAGAAGGUCAAAGCUGGCAGUCGUAAACCUGAAAUUAACGACCUUCUGUAAAAGGUCGUUGGUUUUUUGACCAAAAUUUUGGUCACUAGCAGCCUCCACAGACCACGUAGGCAUCCAGCGUGGCAAGCUGAUGUGGCACAAGAAUCAGCCCGGUCCGAUUCGGCGUUUUACAUGGGCCGAGCCCAACAAUUCGGCCUUUUUAAUGUAUUUUUUCCUGUUAUUUUUUGCUGGCUACAUGGGCUUGGGCCAUUGGUUCGGCCUUUUUUGCUUUCUGAGGUGCGGCCUUUUCACGUUCUAUAUAUUUUUUAUUUUCAGGUUUUCUUUUUUUUUGUUACAUUCAAUUUUCAGAUUAUUGUAGUCAACUGGAUGCACAUUGUCAGAUUCUUCUAGGCACUAGGUCCCAAACAUCAGGUUUUAAUUUUUCACAACUUGUAAUUCAAUGAUAUACCAAUCAGAGAACACAUUUUAAAUAUAUUCAAAUAACAGCCAAAUCACCAUGUACCAAUCAAGUUUAUUACAUUCCACCAAUCACAAUAUAACCAUACAAUAUUACACCAAUCACAAUAUAGCACUCUACAGAUAAAACGCUCAACAAGUACAUGCACGUCUCCAACACCUUAGCGCCUUCAACCUGCAAAACAUCACAUCCAGCCACAUAUUAACGAUCAAAUCAAUUCACCCCUUGACGCCCUGGUAGGUGACGACGAUGUGGUAGUGGUGGAAGCCGCCGCCAAGGCCGACAGCGCCUGCGGUGUCCCCAUCGUCAUUGAAGGCGAUGACGACAGACGAGUCAGCGUCGAAGCAGGUGCGCCGCAGGCCACAUCAUCAUAUUUGAGCAUUAAUAUUUCCGUAUUACUACACAGGAACUACAACACUAGGAGUACACAGCAACUAGUAGCAGAACUAGAAGAAAUAGCCAAAUUGAGUGUACACCAAUAUCAUCAGGAACAUGAGUAUAACAAGCAUCUUGCUUUACUGGGAUAAAGUGACACAGCAGAAUUACUAGGAUACAGUGACACAGAAGCAAUAAGAUAACAUAUUAUGUGCUACAGGCUGACAUUUCCAAAGUGGCACGUUUGAUAUGCUAAGGACUUGUUGAUCUAAUCCAGGUUCUGUUUUACAAAUUAGUUUUGCUGUAAAUUCAGCUGGUGUUCAAGUUAUAAACAGUUUCUUUUUACUUGCCAUCUUUGUUUCUUCUCCGUGACAUUUAGUAGCACACAGGAGUAUAUCCUGCUAUGCCUAUGCAUUGCAAGAGCCAAACCAAUACUAAAUAUUAUUGCAAACCUAACAUACUUGAACAGCUUGGUCAGGGCAAGAACAGACCUGAUGAGCUCUGAAGUUGAACGAAUGGUGAACGAGCCCGUGGAGAGGCAGAGCACCUGCAUUUGACACAAACUGCUAAGGAUCAAUGCAAACCAAACGCACUAUUGAUAUUGUACAGAAAUGGGUAGUAGGAUUCAGAAAGUGUGAAUGUGAUAUAGUAAAAAAUUGCAUGCUAUGCACAUCAAGUUAAAAGGCACAAGUUAUAUAGUAGCCUCAAGCAGAGCAAGUGUACAGCAAGUUGAGAAAAGAAUGCUCAGUCUUGCCGUGGACUCACAAUCCACAUCCAAUAGCCCACCAUCUUGUAUAUACAUCCAAACCAUAAAAAUAGCGGUUAAACAGCAAGGUAGUGGAAAUAAAUUAAGUAAACUAUUGGCUAUUAAGUAGUAUACUCAUGUGGUGAAUUUUAUGGAAUACUUAAUCUAUACUCUGCAUCUACCAAAAGCAAAUCUCCUUGAACAGGUUCUGAUGCCAAACAAUCCAAAGGCAUCUAACUGAAAAAGGCAAAAGAAUGGUGCUUCUGUUGCAGUGAAUUGAAACCCAAAGCACCCCCAAACCGUAACAGACUAAACUAGCUAGCUCUAGGAGAACUAAAACGCUAGCUGCAAGCAAGGAAUGGAGGAAUGGAUGGUCACCGUUACUGAAGUUGAUGCUUCAGGAGCCCGCCGGCGUGGUGGUUCAGGUGGUCGAGGAAGAAGAGGAGCAUUACUGCAUAAUCAUCAUGAAACAAUAGUGAUUGAGUAAAUCAUAAAGCAGAAUAACAAAAUCAUAAUUAAUCUAAAUCGACUCAGAAUCAGAUAGCAUAUGAUGAGCAUGUUUACAUCUUUUACUAAUCAAAGCACUUGCGCGCACACCGGCAAAACUCUCCACCCGCUCUGUCUUCAUAGCAAAGGAAGCGAGCCAUAAAAAAUUUAGUACUAGGGGUUGCUUCAACUUCCAUACUAAGAAUGAAUGUAAUGUAUCAUGACAACUUUACCUAAUCCUUGAAACAAGUAUGCAUAUUAUUACUUUUAAUGCCUCUACGAGUCAUGAUCCCGACCUCCGGGUCAAUAUGUAACACAUUUUGCAACUGAUACUAGUUCACAGCAACUCAUUUUUAAUAAAAUAUAGCGUCCUAACUCCUAGUUAGUUCCAGAACUGCCCAAAUUUUACACACCUCAUCUUCCUGAGGACACUGGACAUCUCCUCUCUUCUUCUUCUUCGCCCUCUUGUGGGUACCCAACUUUCGCUUCGCCACCUUCAGGGCACGCUUGUCCUCCAACCUUGAGAAGCUCAGUGAUACACUUCUCAUACGGAGCAAACCCAGCGACCUCCCUGAUCAAGUUCCUGACGAAAUGCACCCUCUUGGUACCUUUCUGCAAACCAAAAUGGUAACCGGUCAGAACAAUGAGAAUGAAAAACUUAAACAGGAGUAAACAUCACAAUAAUAUGAAUUCUUACUACAACAAAGGAUCUAUUGCACUUGAGAAUGAAGGAAUUGUCACAUAUUCAACAAAUUCAGAAUCUAAACUGAAUUUCGUCUACCAAAUAAACUAGAACACCUCAAAUCCAGUCUGCUAAGAGUAUUUAUUUAUCUACCAACAAGAAAUCGAGCCUAACGCUUGAAACCCGCACAGAUCAACAUAACAGCACAUGCACAAGCACAACAGCACCAGCGUCAUCUGUAUGCAAGAUGUGUCUCGGAUAUCAGCACAGGCACAAGCACAACAGCUCUUCAAGGCUUGAUUUAACACACUGAGGAACAUUAUUGAUUUAGCAAGUGCAGAAUACCAUUACAAUGCUCAAUUCAACUAACAGAAUCAUCCUGAGACGAGUUUAUACGAACAAUCAGGAACACGAAGUGCAGCACAGCAAGUCGAUCUACCAUAUCUAUCAGUUGCAUCUAAUUAGGCACCCCGAAACCCUACCCGAUGGAGAAUGGCCUGAACGACGAGAUAGCACGGUGCUGGGUUUCAGAACCUGAAGGGGAAGGGAUCGCGCCUGAUGGCAGCGGUCGUGUUACCUGCGCCUGCUUCGCCCUCACGUACGGGGAAUCCGCCGCCGGCGGCGCCCUCAGCGGCCGGGAGCAUCCGCCACUGCUCACCGGCGGGGUAACGCGGUAGGAGCAGCAGCUGGCGCUCAAGCACGGGGUGAAGUGGCUCCUGGGGACGGCGAAGCCAUCGGGGGUGCCGGGGCUCUACCUCUCCGCCGCGGCUGGUGGCGGCGCCCUCCCCCUCCCGCUGGUGGCGGCGCCGCCCUCAAGGUGGCUGCUCAAAAGGAUCUACGGAGAGGGAGGGGAAAGGAUGCCGGCGGUGGAGUGGAGGCCGGGGUGGUCGCUCGUGGUUGCAGGAAGAUGUGCCCGUCGGAUCUGACCGGAAGAGNNNNNNNNNNNNNNNNNNNNNNNNNNNNNNNNNNNNNNNNNNNNNNNNNNNNNNNNNNNNNNNNNNNNNNNNNNNNNNNNNNNNNNNNNNNNNNNNNNNNNNNNNNNNNNNNNNNNNNNNNNNNNNNNNNNNNNNNNNNNNNNNNNNNNNNNNNNNNNNNNNNNNNNNNNNNNNNNNNNNNNNNNNNNNNNNNNNNNNNNNNNNNNNNNNNNNNNNNNNNNNNNNNNNNNNNNNNNNNNNNNNNNNNNNNNNNNNNNNNNNNNNNNNNNNNNNNNNNNNNNNNNNNNNNNNNNNNNNNNNNNNNNNNNNNNNNNNNNNNNNNNNNNNNNNNNNNNNNNNNNNNNNNNNNNNNNNNNNNNNNNNNNNNNNNNNNNNNNNNNNNNNNNNNNNNNNNNNNNNNNNNNNNNNNNNNNNNNNNNNNNNNNNNNGGCUCGCUUGAUCUGCUGAGGGGGCGACUGGGUGGUGGAAGGGAGGGGCGGCGGAGGAGGAAUCUAGAUCGGGAAGGGGGCGGCGGCGAGGAGAUGGGGACGAGGGAGGAAGGAGGCGACGGGGGGAGGGGUCGAUCUGAGCUAGGGUUUGGGCUGCGGGUGGGGGGUAUCUCUUUUUCUUUUCUUUUUUUUCCUUUUUUCUAUAGAUAGAUGGAUGGAUGGAUGUGGGAUGGAUGGAUGUGGGAUGGAGAGAUGGAUGGAUGGAUGUGGGAUGGAUGGAUGGAUGGACGCCAUGUCAUCGAUCCGUGGACAGAGUUAUGAUUGGUUCAGAAAAUCAGUGAUGUAAAAUAGUUUUCAAGUACUAAAAAUAGAGGGAUUUUGUGAAGUAGCUAUCAAAAAUAUUUUGCAAAAGGGCACCACACAAAUUUUCACUAGAUUUAGACAACAUUUCAUGGAUUAGGACCGAUUUGUAUGCAUUUUUCAUAUUUCUAGCUAUUUUUUAAUCAUUUUUCGAGUGCAAAAAUGUUUUUUUGUGAAGAACCUACCAAAUAAUUGUUGCAAAAUUGCACCAAAUUAGUUUUCUAAAAUAUUAGGCCAUAUUUAAUACACAAUUGACCAAAUGGUUGGGUGUCAAAAGUUUUUAUCCACCUCUCGUGAAAAAGACAAAUUUAUGUCGGUUCAGUUGGAAGCGGGUCAAAUUUGAACUGCAGCUGCCUCAUAGUUUGCUCUUUAUUUUUUCAAAAAAUCAUUUUUAGGUACAAAAGUAUCUAUUUAAUCAGAGAAAUACCAAAAAAUUCCAAGAUUCAACCACUAGAUAGGAACGGGCAUGCCUGCCGUUUUGACCGCAUUUUGAAACGGGCAUAAAAAAUUCAAAAAAAAUCAAAAAAUUGGAAAACCUUCGCAUUGUGUCAUUAUAUGUGACCAAGUUAUUAGAAAAAGUUAUAAACUUGUAAUAUGGCAAUUCUUUUAAAAAAGUGUUCUCAGAAAUGAGCUAUCAUGUGUGAAGAUUCAUGGCUUUCAAGCCAAAUGAUCAAUCUUAUGGCCACAUUCAUGACAUAGUUUGUUCAAAUAAUCUCAUAUCGUGCACAAAGGGGCAUCUUGGAAUGGCAAACAAUGUUGCCUAAGGAAGUUUUCAUUUUCUUUGGACGAAAAAUUCAUUUUCCAUUUUUUCGAGUGCCCGAAAUGAGUUUUUUUAUGAAUGACCUACCAUAUAUUUGUUGCAAAUUUGUACCAAAUCAUUUUUAUAAAAUACUAGGUCAUAUUUAAUGCACAAUUAACAAAAUGGUUGGGUGUCCAAAGCUUUUAUCCACCUCUGGUGAAAAGGACAAAUUUCCGCCAAUUUAGUUGGAAACAGGUUAAAUUUGAACUGCGACUGUCUCAUAGUUUGCUAUUUAUUUUUUCCAAAAUUCAUUUCUAGGUACAAAAGUAUCUAUUUAAUCAUAGAAACACCAAAGGUUUUCCAAGAUUCAACCACUAGCUAGGAACGGUCAUUCCCGCCGUUUUGACUGCAUUUUGAAACGGGCAUAAAAAAUUCAAACAAAAUUAAAAAAUUGGGAAACCUUCACAUUGUGUCAUUAUAUGUGGCCAAGUUCCCAGGAAAAAUAACAAACUUAUAAUACGGCAAUUAUUUUAAAAAAGUGUUCUAAAAAACGAGCUAUCAUUUGUGGAGAUCAAUGGCUUUCAAGCCAGAUGAUCAAUCUUAUGGCCACAUUCAUGGCAUAGUUUGUUCAAAUGAUCUCAUAUUGUGCACAAGGGUGCAUAUUGGAAUGUCAAACAAUGUUGCCUACGGAAGUUUUCAUUUUCUUUGGACGAAAAAACCAUUUUUCGAGUGCCCAAAAGGAGGUUUUUUUGUGAAGGACCUCCCAAAUAAUUGUUGCAAAAUUGGACCAAAUCAAUUUUCUAAAAUACUAGGACAUAUUUAAUGCACAAUUGACAAAAUGGUUGGGUGUAAAAAGUUUUGAUCCACCUCUCGUGAAAAAGACAAAUUUCCGUCGAUUCAGUUGGAAGCGGGUCAAAUUUGAACUGCAGCUGCCUCAUAGUUUGCUAUUUAUUUUUUCCAAAAAUCAUUUCUAGUUACAUAAGUACCUAUUUAAUCAUAAAUACAUGGUUUGGUGGCGAUACGUCGAGGUUUGGGCGGUGGUCGCCCCAACUCUAGAGCGCGUAAACUUGCAUGCCCGCCGCGUGGUCACCGCGUGACCGUGGCGUUGCCAUGUUUUCUGGGCGGCCUAGGCAUGUCUAGUGGUUUGGGCACUCCCCAGGUAGGUGCUAGGAAGAAAAUUACAACAUAAGAUUCUCACGAGGAGACUGAUCGAUGCUCAAACAUGAAUUAGCAGCCAAGUGUUUGAUUAGCGGUACAGGAAAUGUACAUGGCUAAUGAGCAUGAGUUUUGGCUGAGGAUGAUCAGUUACUAAGAAGACCGUCUUCACAAAUUUUCAGCUCAAAAGGAGGAGACCAGGUGGUACUUGCUUUGCAAAGUACCACACUGGACAUAAAUACGAAUGUUGAAGCUGGGCUCGAAAUAAUGAAUGGAUUGAGCUGGCAUUUGGUGGAGGAUGGUUAUUUGGGCAUAGGAAGGCACCAUAGAAAAUGGAUACUAUUUGGACAUGCCAAAGUGGUACUUCUUUCACAAAGUGUUGUUCUGAACAGAAUAGGAAAAUGAAUAUUGUUGAAUAUUUUUUAACCAGGCAAGGAAGGUUUUUUACAUAUUUGACGAAGAUAUGACCCAAAGAAUUUAUGAGAUUUUUUUGGAAAUUUUGGAAAUGACAGAAAUAUAGGUUGCUUCACAACAUGGGGCAAAAAUUGCCACAUGGACAUGACACAUAGGCAAAACUGAUGAGGUGGCGCCUAGUCAUAGCAACCCACCACAAUUUACAAGGUUAUGAUCAUCUAUAUUGGUCGUGAUCAGCUAGAAAUAAGGCAGCAGACUAGUGCUAUCUGCUUUAUGACCAUUUCGUGUAAGGAAAUUACGACCUUUCUGACCAAAACGGUCAUUAUAGUUUAGGGUUUGGAGCCCCCCAAACAGCUUUUGACCAAUUGGUCUGAAAUGGUCAUAGAUCUAUGACCAAUUCUUCCAGGGUCACUGACAAAAGGUCACUAGUUGACAUAUUUCUUGUAGUGCGUUAGUGGUAACUUUGUCGAUGAAAAUGGAGUACCUGUUGAGGUGGACUGUCAGCGGUAACUUUAUCACCAAAAAUUGACCGUGUGGUUCGGCUUCUCUCCGCGCCCACUAGUUGUGCUUGCAUGGUGAUGAAUGUAGGGAUCCCAUGAAUGUAUGUAUGCAUGCAUGUGUAUGUGAUAAUAAUAAACUAAUGAAGUUGUAGUAUUACCAAAAAAAUAACCUCCAUAACGAAAUAGUGAUCUAAAUGCUCUUGUAUUUCUUUAGUGAGUACUUGCGGAAGAGGCUAACUAUUUUUUGGUGGUUAGAGUUGACUCUUACGUGUGUGUGCGCGCGAGCCGCUUUAGGGUUUUUAUAUAUUACUCUCAAACUGGGAUUUCUCAUUCGUUUCAUUGAGAAGAACUGGGUGGUGGGUUAGUAUUUAAAAAAAACUGGGUGGUGGGUUAGGUUUGAUGCACCCUCUACUUGCAGGUAUGCAUUUCGUCGAGGGUGUGGCUAGGUCUCAAUCGAUUGAUACUUAAUCAAGUCUCAAUCAAGUGGCAUAGCAUGUAAGAAAGAAAAAGAAAAAACUAAAAGAAAAAUUUGCAUGAAUCUCCAUGCAAGAUCUCACGAAUAUGACAUCAACGAUUGAGACUUAAUCAAGUCUCAAUCAAGUGGCAUAGCAUGUAAGAAAGAAAAAGGAAAAAACUAAAAGAAAAAUUUGCAUGAAUCUCCAUGCAAGAUCUCACGAAUAUGACAUCAACUGAGGCAUAAUCAAGUCUCAGUCGACUGAGAUUUAGCAAUAUUGUUUCGUCGAACAUUGUGGGCGGUGACACGGUGGGAGAGAGGGACAAAACUUGGAGAAGACGAGAUUUCUGGAAUCGAGGAGGUGCAGAUCGACGGUCCCGUGGCGGUGACUGGCCGGAGAGGGAGGACACAAGCUUGAUGGUAUGCAGGGCAUGGGGGGUGGGGUCCGCGCCGCAACAAUGGGAGAAGUGAGGUGCUCCCCACGGACGCCCACGGCGAGGAAAGCACCGAAAUUGUAGGUCGGUGUUGGCGUGUGAAUCGAAUCGAACGAUGGAGCAGCGGAGGCGUCGGCAACCAAAGCAUCACCGGGACUGGGGAAGAAGGCUCCCCUCCGGUCCGGUGGAUUGCUUUGGAGGCGUCUACAAAAGGUACGAUUUUUUCUUCUUUUCUUCUUGUGAGAAUAGAGUAGAAUUGAAUUGAAGAAGAGUCGCGAUUGAGUCGCCGGCAACCUGCAGUAGCCAGGAUCCGCGGAGAUGGAGCUGGCGCGCGACGUGGGACCCUGGGAGGGAGGGUCUCGCUGAGAGAGAUGAAACAAAGAAAGAAAGAAAGAAAAUUGGGUGGGUCGGGUCCCACCGGUCGCUCCAGUUUGUUUCGUUGGAUCGAAUCGGAGUAAAAAAAAUGGAAAACGACGACAUGUGCUGCGGAGCGCGCACUUCAAUCACGUGCAUGCUGAGAGCCUCCUCUAGCUCCAAGUAGUACUCUACUCCGUUGGUCUCGGGGCCAGGAGGAGCUACGCUGAAAAAGGGAUAAUACUAGACUCACGGGCUCCUUCAACGGACCUUUACGGAGUGGCCUACGUCUACGUGCCAUCUCCUAAUUUGCCCCCCCGAUUUUCACUCUGGGGCCUGCGAACCUUAAUUAAAUCCUGGCAACUAAUACUUAAUCAACCCGGUAAACUCCCCGUGGACCCCCCGUGAGUGUAGCAUUGCCCCUGAAAAAGACCCCCCCUCUUGAUGCCCGCAAUGAUCGGCACCGACCGCGCGUUUGGAUUGGUGGGCAUCUCCACUCUCGCCAUUCGCCAACACUGCUCUGCUCUGCCGCGCACCAAACCAUCAAAAAGUGGCCGUACCGCCAUUUUUGCCACCACACCAACCGUUCGGUCCACCAAUAUCUGUCAUCCACCACUCCAUUACAUAGUGCCGGCGAUCGAGACUCGGGAGCAAAGCCUCGAAGCGACGGCACGAGCGAGCUAGCCCACGAACGAUCGAAUACGCGACGCGACCAGAAGAGCUCCGCUAGCUCGUCCCAAUGGCGGCGACGGGCGGCUCGGACGAGGAGGUGCACUUCGACUUCUUCCCGCUCGUCCGCCAGUACAAGAGCGGCCGCGUGGAGCGCUUCUUCAACUUCCCCCCGAUCCCGGCCGGCGUCGACCCCGCCACGGGCGUCGUCUCCAGGGACGUCGUCAUCGACCCGGCCAACGGCCUCUGGGCGCGCGUCUUCCUCCCGCCCGGCGCCGCCGGCAAGCUCCCCGUCCUCGUCUACUUCCACGGCGGCGCCUACGUCAUCGGCUCCGCGUCCGACCCCAUGACGCACAACUACCUCAACGGCCUCGUCGCCGCGGCCAACGUCCUCGCGGUGGCGCUCGAGUACCGCCUCGCGCCGGAGCACCCGCUCCCCGCGGCAUACGACGACUCCUGGGAGGGGCUCAAGUGGGUGGCCUCCCACGCCACGGGCGGCGGCGCAGCAGAGCCGUGGCUGCUCGACCACGGCGACUUCUCCCGCGUGUUCCUGGCGGGCGGCAGCGCCGGGGGCACCAUCGCGCACGUCAUGGCCGUGCGCGCCGGCGAGCGGGGCGCCCUCCCCGGCGGGGUCGGCAUCAAGGGGGUCAUCGUGGUGCACCCCUACUUCAGCGGCGCGGCGGAGAUCGGCAAGGAGGCGACCACGGGGAAGGCGGAGAAGGCCAAGGCCGACGCCUUCUGGCGGUUCCUCUACCCGGGCUCGCCGGGGCUGGACGACCCGCUGUCCAACCCGUUCUCGGAGGCGGCCGGCGGCAGCGCGGCGCGCAUCGCCGGCGACCGCGUGCUCGUCUGCGUCGCCGAGAAGGACGGCCUCCGGGACAGGGGCGUCUGGUACUACGAGAACCUCAAGGCGAGCGGCUACGGCGGCGAGGUGGAGCUGCUCGAGUCCAUGGACGAGGACCACGUCUUCUACUGCAUGAAGCCGCGGUGUGAGAAAGCGAUCGAGUUGCAGGACCGCAUCCUCAGCUUCCUCCGCAAGUGAGCCGCCGCGCUCGCCGGCAAAGGAAAGGGAAGUUCCCGUGAUGGAAUGAAUAAUUUUAUCGCCAUUGAUGUUCCUCUGUUUGAGCUCGAGAGAUCUCUCCCUUUAAUUUGUUGUCCGUCGGUUAUGGUCUCGCCGAUGCAGCCGGCUGAUGUUUAUCUCAAUACCAUGGCGAAGAGAGCUAGUGGGUUUCUUCACAAUUUGCGCUGAACUUUUGUUUCAAUCAUCUUUCCUGUAGAGGCCGAAAGUAAUAAAGGUCUUUCCUUUUUUAAUUAUAUUUAUCUUGUGAAAAGUUAUGGAUAUGUUUUGAGGAGAAACCCCUAUUUGCAUUGUAAGGGCAUCUCCAACGCCCACCCUCAAACCGCCCCGCAUACGUCCGGACCGCGAAAGUCAUCAACUUCUCUCCCUUAUUUUACAUUUGCACCCUCCAUCUCCCCACCAUUGAUGUACGUCUCCGCCCGCUACAGAGGUAUUGUCGGACGUUCGCAACCAGCACCGACGGGCCCGCUCGCCUUUACGAUGGUUCUAUCCACCCUGGAGCCGUUGUACCCAGGUACACUCCGCCCCCCUGUCGACGACCUCCAUGGUGGACACCACGCCCGGCAGGCGUUCAGUCAAAUGCCAUUGAGCUUAUUUUCAAACACUAUGUCGUCUUUUAGAGUACGAAGGAUGGCGAGCUACUCAACCAUGGAGGAUGAGUAGUUGUGUGAUGCGUGGUUGGUCGUAUCCGCGAAUUUCGUAGGCAGGAGCAGAGGGGGGACCUUCUAGCAGCAAGUGCAUGAAUAAUUUCACGCACGAAAGCACAUUCCGCCCUACGACAUGUACGUCAUUCAAGAACGCAAACGUGAGGUCGUUGUCCUAUCGCUGGUACGCUAUGCAGACCAGCGUCACCAAGUUUUGUAACAUGGUUCGUCAGCUGGAGGCAAGGUGGCUAUUGCACGCGACAUGACAAGAUCGUAAGUUUUGCUUCCUUUUGCUCAACUUGUUUAAAUCAUUCGUUCAAUCGAUGUUGGUCUACACAUUAUGUAGCCUGCACGCGCUGCCUAAUGUACCACAUGACAGAGGGACGGCCAUUUACUUACACACACUGUUGGAUGAAGUUGAAGGGGGAGAAUGUGUGGGACGACAUGAUCUCUUGAUGAAAAACUUGUUGGACAUCCGAUUAACUUGUCGAAUAUUAGACAUUGUUGUACUAGACUUAUUUGCAUGCUAUGUAUGGAUGAUUUGUGCUAUUUUCUAUCCGAACUUUGAUGAAUAUUGGCCGUUUUCAUGAAUUUCUUUCGGUUAGUUAAAAUACGAGUUGAAAUGUGUGCGGGCAAUGUUUGAUGGCGGCCUCCCGCAUCCGUAUCCGCGGACUGGUCCCCUGCCCGUGAAUGGAUGCGGGAGGAAAUUUACGGAUCGCCGUUGGAGAUGCCCUAACUAGUUAAACGUGCAUGCUUGCUACAGACCAUAAAGCAAGUAAAUGAAUCAAACAGAUGAUUAAGAGACAUGGAUAAGUAAAUGGUAAAAAUAGUUGAAGUCAUGGACUACAUUCUUCAUUUCAGAUUGGUAGCAAUAUGAGCUCCAUCCACCAAUGGUAGUUGAUUCAGAUACAAGCUUCACAUAUUCAAUUUAGCAAAGAGAGCCUUAGCUCUUUGGUUAGUCAUGCGGUUGUUCACUAACCAUUCAAUUCCUAAAAUUGACAGGUGAUGCACAGAAUUUUUCCAUUACUUGUUGAGGAUCAAGUUUGGUGUGUGGUGAAACCACUCAUCAAAAUAAAAUCUUGGUACUCAUAAAAAAAUCAUUGAGGAUCAGGCUUGAUGCGUGGCGGGACUACACAUCAAGAUAAAAAAUUGGUGUAGAGGCUGGGAAGUAAUGACCCCGCGUCGCCUCACCCUGGCGACUCGGGGGUGGGGGCGACCAAACAAACCAAGCAUCGUCUACUGCUAUCCGUCCCUCCCCAUGCCGCCGUCGGAGAACAGCGACGGCAAAGGCCGCGAUGCGGUGGUGGCAGGGUCCACCUUCUCUGCGGUGCUCUGGUGGCCCUUGGCAAUGGCCUCUCUGCUUCGCGCAUCUUCCUUGCCCCUCCCGGUGGCGUGCCAUCCUUCUCUGCCUUUGCUGUAGAUCUGUGGCCAGGGGUUCGCGGGCCACUCCCAGCGAGGCGGUGUCGUCUGGCUCGAUCCACUGAGGUGUUGUCGCUGCUGAUGUUGGCGACAUGAUGGUGGGGCCGAGGCCAUGGGUGCUAAGGCCAGGCGGACUGCAACGCUUUGGUUCUUGGCCACUAGUCAGAUCUGUCUCUCAUGCUCCAGAUUCGUCCAUGUUGGCCCCUAGGUUGAUGGGUCUGGACAAGGCUCUCUCCGGCGAAGUGGUAGUCGGCGAUGUUGUGCUUCAUCAUUGAUGUUGGUCUGUGUUGCCACUCCGGCCUAUGGGGGCAUCCUCGCUUUGGAUUGCGGUCGCCAUCGAAAGGUCUUCGUGAGGGUUCCACCCUCCAGAUCUGGUGGUUGCCUUUAUCCACUGAGAUGCAAACUGCGAAUGAUGGCUUGACGCAAAGGGUUUGGUUGUGAAGUGGCGGCAGAUGAUUUCUUAGCCUAGCGCAUUUAGCUGUGGGAUGGCGAAAAAGUGGUGGCACUGAUACGUAUCUAUAAUUUUGACUGUUUCGUGCUAUUAUAUUAUCACUUUUGGAUACUUUAGCAAUGCACAUUAUUUUUCUGGACUAACCUAUUAAUUUAGUGCGCAGAGCCAGUUGUUGUUUUCUACAUGUUUUUGUUUUUUCAGAAAUCAAUAUAUGCAGAGGUAAAAAAACCAUGAGGAUUUAAUACGAUAUUUUUUGUGACGCGAGAAAUCCAAAAAGUACCAGAGCCAUACGGGAUGGGAACCAGGGGCCCCACAUGGCCUGGUGGCGCGCCUUGACAAGGUAGUAGCCCAUUUUGUACUUGUGCCCACUGACAACAUAGUUGCAAGGUGGAGCCUCACCGAAAGAGAGCCUUGCAAAAGUAGAAAUUUUUUGAGGACACUGAGGUCAUUGUGUGUACCAAGCAACCCAAAGUAUGAAUUUAAAAUCCAUAGAUCUUGUGAUGCAACUACUUCAAGAAUGAUGGUUGGAUCAUGGCAAUGCACUCUAUGGCCUUGCCAUGCCAAAAGACAAUUCUUCCAUGUCCAAUGCAUAUAAUCAAUGGAUACGAGCAUCUCUGGCCAGCCUCACUUGUCCGACGUAUUCAUCAACGGACGCCCUGAAAGUACCCCGGUCCGAAGAUCUCGAUCAAGGAUUGUGUGAAAUAUCCACACAAUAGAUGAUUGUAUCUUCCCCAAUGCAGACCUAGUCAUUGAUGGUGCCGGUCAGGCAUCCAUGUGGAUCGCUGUUGGAGAUGCCCUAACUAGUUAAAUGCACGUGCGUUGCUACAGAUCAUAAAGUAAGUGAAUGAAUCAAAUAGAUGAUUAAGUGACAUGGAUAAGUAAAUGAUAAAAAUAAUUGAAGUCAUGGACUACAUUCUUCAUUUCAGUUUUGUCGGCAAUACGAGCUCCAACCACCAAUAGUGGUUGAUUCAAAUACAAGCUUCACAUAUUCAAUUUAGCAAAGAGAGCCUUAGCUAUUUGGUUAGGCAUGCACUUGUGCAUCCUAACCAUCUGGUUCAAUUCCUAAAAUUGACAGGUGAUGCACAAGAAUUUUCUAUCAUUUAUUAAGGAUCAAGUUUGGUGUGUGGUGAAAUCACUCACCAAAAUAAAAUCUUGGUACUCAUAAAAAAUCGUUGAGGACUAGGCUUGAUGUGUGGCCGGACUACAGAUCAAGAUAAAAAGUUGGUGUAGAGUCCAGGAAGUGAUUCUCUCCCAAUUUAAAAAGUUGGCUGAUUCAUAUUUUGUCUUCAUGUUAAUUAGUUUUUCCACACCUUCCACGCGUGUUGUUGAAGUACCUGUUGGUGCUUCGUAUCAUGAGAAUGGCUAGUGGCUAGACUGUGAAGAAAAUCCAUCGCUAAGGCCACAUCAGUUGUAAGCUAGAAAAGCCCAAGGCCUCCAACAGCCCAAGCAAUGCGGUACAGGCAAACUAGCCUGGAAAGCUAAGACAUUCGUAGGCUGCCUUCCUAAAAACUAGCCUGAGGCCGGGCAAGCUGCUUGAUUGUCGCCUAAAUCGAUAGAUUCUGACCUAGAUGGAUGGAUUUUGAGAUUUGACAAGUUUUGCCACUUUUUACCUAAAUCUGGGUCAUUUUUAGGCAAAUCCUAGGCACGCGUGGCUGUGUAUGCCUGAAACAUGGCUAGUGCCUCAGCAACUUGUGGGCUUGGUUGGGCUCUAGCUUGGCCCGAUUCAGUUGGUUGCGCCUAAUCUCGUCGUCAUGGUCAGUUUUAGUAUUGUACUUCAUUUCUGAAAGUGCCAUUAAGUUCCACCAUUACUAAGAAAUUCUUUUGAUAUACAACAAAUAUGUUGUGAAAUUAGCGGUAGGUCAAAAUAAGAGGGGAGGAAGAGAGUACUAUCAAAGACACACAAAUGCAUGUGGCAGUCCGAAAUCAAUAACAGGGUCUCUAAGAGCUACUGCUGCCAUCUUUCUCCUUCUCCUUACAUACAUACAUCAGCCAACGAAAAAAGCACAAACGUUCUAGCCACACACGGUUGCCAACUCAAGGAAAUAGGGAUGAUCCGCUCACAAAUUUCUUGAGGCAAUCCGAAUCAAGAAUGAGGAAUGAAGCUGCUCAAUUCAUUCAUACAUACACUAAAAAUCACUACACUAGAUAAAGUCCAAAUCAUCCUACCAACCGAAUCAUGAUUAACAACAACUCAAGCAAUAUGUUGCACAACAAAAUCUAGACAACGCAUAUCUCAAAAAGAUGAAGCUAAUCCAACACCAGGAGAAACUGAUAACUAAGCUGAUGAUUAUAAUCCAAGACGACCGACCAGCUUCUUAGAUGAGCCUGAAUGGUCACAGGUCAUCGACACACCUCUCAUUUGUAUAGUGGCGUGCAGAGUCGACACUUCAAAGAGACACUCGCCGAAACUGAUUCACACUACCAGCAAAACGCCUAGAUGAUUCUUGGUCUAGCACCCAGCAACCCAAAACAACAAACUCGGAAUACAGACACUAGAAACAUGAAAGGAAAAUCAAUCCAUCUUCUAACCAUCCCGGAGGAUCAAACAUCCAGUGGCUGUGGGUCGACCAUCUCUAGACUUCUUUGCCAUCCUCACCAUCAAGUCAAACCGAUUCCUGGUCAGAGUGAAAGAACAAGAUUAAUUAGUGGCCAAGUAAACCCACGACAACGACUAGCAAGACAACACAGUUGCAAUGGACUCAAUACAUCCACAUGGAAAAACAAAAAAGCAUGAUCCAUCCAUUCAUCCCAAAUCAACAACUCUGUUGGGAAGCCAGAAAUUCAUUCAUGCAUGCAUCCGAAUUCCUUCCAUUCAAAUUCAUUAUGCCAAGCGAACAUGUUCCACAACAAGCUUGCGUGGCGCUUCAGCACAAUUCUCAAAGCAAGAAGUAAUUUGAACACCACAACAUACUAAGAAGCCGAUGAAUUCUGGGCACUCGUCACACCUAAAAUAGCGAGACGAGCGACUUCAGCUUGACGACCAACUCCAGGUGGCCCUUGAGCGUGUCAAGUUCCCUCCGUGGCUUCUAACCACAGUGACUUCCAUGCCUUUCUUUAGAUUUAGAUACAUAUGCUCUCUAUGAACACAAGACAAGACAAAGAUAUGCUAUAACUGCUUACAAUGCCAAACUAAACUCUUCUAGGACCAAAACAACAGUACAUGGUCAAGUGAGCAGUACAAGAUCAAGUAGCAGCAGCAGUAGAAGAUCAGAGCAAACAACCACAUCAUACAGCAAGUAAGGAUCAGAGAUCCCGAUUAAGCCGAUUCGUUUAACAGCAACCACUACCAGCAAUAUCAGAGUGAAAAAGGUUAAAGCCCAACCCAUCCUACUACUGUCACAGGCAAACAAUUAAUCUAGAUUGUGCACAAUUCAGAUCCAGUACUGCUUCACGACAAGUGUUAGAUGUCAUAUUCAAAGGUAACAUUUAGCAAAGAGAGCCUUAGGUCUUUGGUUAGUCAUGCGGUUGUUCAUCCUAACCAUUCAAUUCCUAAAAUUGACAGGUGAUGCACAUAAUUUUUCCAUCACUUGUUGAGGAUCAAGUUUGGUGUGUGGUGAAACCACUCAUCAAAAUAAAAUCUUGGUACUCAUAAAAAAAAUCAUUGAGGAUCAGGCUUGAUGCGUGGCGGGACUACACAUCAAGAUAAAAAAUUGGUGUAGAGGCUGGGAAGUAAUGACCCCGCGUCGCCUCGCCCUAGCGACUCGGGGGUGGGGGCGACCAAACAAACCAAGCAUCGUCUAUUGCUAUCCGUCCCUCCCCAUGCCGCCGUCGGAGAAUAGCGAUGGCAAAGGCCGCGAUGCGGUGGAGGCAGGGUCCACCUUCUCUGCGGUGCUCUGGUGGCCUUUGGCAGUGGCCUCUCUACUUCGCGCAUCUUCCUUGCCCCUCCCGGUGGCGUGCCAUCCUUCUCGGUGUCCACAGAGCUCGCCCUCCGGCAAUGGAUUGGCAACUGCCUUUGCUGUAGAUCUGUGGCCAGGGGUUCGCGGGCCACUCCCAGCGAGGCGGUGCCAUCUGGCUUGAUCCACUGAGGUGUUGUCACUGCUGAUGCUGGCGACAUGAUGGUGGGGCCGAGGCCAUGGGUGCUAAGGCCAGGCGGACUGCAACACUUUGGUUCUUGGCCACUGAUACGUCUCCAUCGUAUCUACUUUUCCAAACACUUUUGCCCUUGUUUUGGACUCUAACUUGCAUGAUUUGAAUGGAACUAACCCGGACUGACGCUGUUUUUAGCAGAAUUGCCAUGGUGUUAUAUUUGUGCAGAAAUAAAAGUUCUCGGAAUGACCUGAAACUUCACGGAGAAUAUUUUUGGAAUAUAUAAAAAAUACUGGCGAAAGAAUCAACACCAGGGGGGCCACACCCUGUCCACGAGGGUGGGGGGCGCGCCCCCUGCCUCGUGGGCCCCCUGAGGCUCCACCGACCUCAACUUCAACUCUAUAGAUUCACGUUCGGGGAGAAAAAUCAGAGAGAAGGAUUCAUCGUGUUUUACGAUACGGAGCCUCCGCCAAGCCCUAAUCUCUCUCGGGAGGGCUGAUUUGGAGUCCGUUCGGGGCUCCGGAGAGGGGAAUCCGUCGCCGUCGUCAUCAUCAACCAUCCUCCAUCACCAAUUUCAUGAUGCUCACCACUGUGUGUGAGUAAUUCCAUCAUAGGCUUGCUGGACGGUGAUGGGUUGGAUGAGAUUUAUUAUGUAAUCGAGUUAGUUUUGUUAGGGUUUGAUCCCUAGUAUCCAGUAUGUUCUGAGAUUGAUGUUGCUACGACUUUGCUAUGCUUAAUGCUUGUCACUAGGGCCUGAGUGCCAUGAGUUCAGAUCUGAACCUAUUAUGUUUUCAUGAAUAUAUGUGAGUUCUUGAUCCUAUCUUGCAAGUCAUUAGCCACCUACUAUGUGUUAUGAUCCGGCAACCCUGAAGUGACAAUAAUUGGGACCACUCUUGGUGAUGACCGUAGUUUGAGGAGUUCAUGUAUUCACUAAGUGUUAAUGAUUUGGUCCGGUACUCUAUUAAAAGGAGGCCUUAAUAUCCCUUAGUUUCCGAUAGGACCUCGCUGCCACGGGAGGGUAGGACAAAAGAUGUCAUGCAAGUUCUUUUCCAUAAGCACGUAUGACUAUAUUCGGAAUACAUGCCUACAUUACAUUGAUGAACUGGAGCUAGUUCUGUGUCACCGUAUGUUAUAACUGUUGCAUGAGGAAUCGCAUCCGACAUAAUUAUCCAUCACUGAUCCAAUGCUUACGAGCUUUUCACAUAUUGAUCUUUGCUUAGUUACUUUUCCGUUGCCACUGUUACAAUUACUACAAAACUGCUAUUGUUACUUUUGCCACCGUUACCGUUACUUCCAUACUACUUUGCUACUAAACACUUUGCUGCAGAUAUUAAGUCUUCCAGGUUUGUUUGAAUUGACAACUCAGCUGCUAAUACUUGAGAAUAUUCUUUGGCUCCCCUUGUGUCGAAUCAAUAAAUUUGGGUUGAAUACUCUACCCUCAAAACUGUUGCGAUCCCCUAUACUUGUGGGUUAUCAAGACUAUUUUCUGGCGCCUUUGCUGGGGAGCAUAACUCUAUUCUUUGAUUCACUUGGGAUUUAUAUCUGUUGAUCACUAUGAGGAACUUGAAAGACGAAAAAACCAAGAUUUAUCCCUCAACUACGAGGGGAGGUAAGAAUUUGCCAUCUAACUCUGCACUUGAUUCACCUUCUGUUAUGAGUAAACUUGCGACACCUAAACCUGCUUCUGCUAUUGAUUCUGAUAUGUCGCAUGUUAUUGAUGAUGCCACUUCUGCUUUGCAUGAUACUUAUGAUGAAACUACUUCUAUGCUUGAUAAUACUGUGCCACUAGGUGAAUUUCUUGAUAAAAAACUUGCUAGGGCUAGAGAGAAUGAAAUUAUUAAAACUGAUAAUAUUGAUGAAAGUGAUGAUGAAGAUUCUCCCCCUAGAUAUGAAUUGCGUGUUGUGCCUGAGGGUUAUGUUAUGGAUGAAGAAACUGUUAGAGAUUUUCUGGCUUGCAAUGAUAGAUAUUAUCUUAAGAAAUUAUUAGCUAAGCUAAAAGAAAAGUCUUUGAAUGCUAGAAUGAAAUAUGACCCUGCUUUUGCUACUUCACCUAUAUGUAUUACUGAUAAGGAUUAUGAUUUCUAUGUCGAUCCUGAGUUAAUUACUUUGGUUGAAUCUGAUCCUUUCUAUGGCUAUGAAUCUGAAACUGUUGUGGCACAUCUUACUAAAUUAAAUGAUAUAGCCACCCUAUUCACUCAUGAGGAAAAAAUUCAUUACUACUAUAUCCUUAAAUUAUUUCCGUUCUCAUUAAAGGGUGAUUCUAAAACAUGGUUUAAUUCUCUUGAUCCUGGUUGUGUGCGUAGUCCCCAGGAUAUGAUUUAUUACUUCUCUACUAAAUAUUUCCCUGCCCAUAAGAAACAAGCUGCCUUAAGGGAAAUAUAUAACUUUGUGCAAAUUGAAGAAGAGAGUCUCCCACAAGCUUGGGGGAGGCUUCUCCUAUUACUUAAUGCUUUGCCUGAUCAUCCUCUUAAGAAAAAUGAAAUACUUGAUAUCUUUUAUAAUGGACUAAUCGAUGCUUCCAGAGACCACCUGGAUAGUUGUGCUGGUUGUGUUUUCAGGGAAAGAACUGUUGAUCAAGAUGAAUUGCUAUUGAAUAAUAUGUUGAGUAAUGAGAAUAAUUGGACACUUCCUGAACCGACUCCUAAGCCAACCCCGAAGAAGAGGGUAUUUCUCAGUCCUGAAGAUAUGCAAGAGGCAAAGAAAUCUAUGAAAGAAAAAGGUAUUAAAGCUGAAGAUGUUAAGAAUUUACCACCCAUUGAAGAAAUACAUGGUCUUGAUAACCCGACACAGGUAGUAAAGGUAAAUUCUCUCUAUAGAUUUGAUGAAGGUGAUAUUCCUCGUUAUAAGUCUGCUAGCCAAUGCUUAGAUGAGUUUGAUAAUUUUAUUGUUAAACAAGAAAACUUUAAUGCUUAUGUUGGUAGACAAUUGAAACGAAAUGCUUAUAUGAUUGAACACUUGAGUGAUUAUAUGUCUAGAGUUAAAGGUGAACUUAAACUUAUUAGUAAACAUGCUUCUAUGGUUACCACUCAAGUAGAACAAGUGUUAAAGCUCAAAAUGAUUUGCUCAAUGAAUUAAAUGAUAAUGCUAUUAGAGUUGUGACUAGAGGGCGAAGAAUGACUCAGGAACCUUUGUAUCCUGAGGGCCACCCUAAGAGAAUUGAGCAAGAUUCUCAGAGAACUAAUGUUGAUGCACCUAGUCCUUCUAAAAAGAAGAAAAAGAAAAAUGAUAGGACUUUGCAUGCUUCUAGUGAACAUGUUGUUGACACACCUGAGAAUCCCAAUGAUAUUUUUAUUUAUGAUGCUGAAACACAAUCUGGUAAUGAACAUGAACCUAGUGAUAAUAUUAAUGAUGAUGUUCAUGUUGAUGCUCAACCUAGCAAUGACAAUGAUGUAGAGAUUGAACCUGCUGUUGAUCUUGAUAAUCCACAAUCAAAGAAUCAACGUUAUGAUAAGAGAGACUUCGUUGCUAGGAAGCACGGUAAAGAAAGAGAACCAUGGGUUCAGAAACCCAUGCCUUUUCCUCCUAAACCAUCCAAGUAAAAGGGUGAUGAGGAUUUUGAGCGCUUUGCUGAAAUGAUUAGACCUAUCCUUUUGCGUAUGCAUUUGACUGAUAUGCUUAAAAUGAAUCCUUAUGCUAAGUAUAUGAAAUAAAUUGUUACAAAUAAAAGAAAGAUACCGGAAGCUGAAAUUUUCACCAUGCUUGCUAAUUAUACUUUUAAGGGUGGAAUACCAAAGAAACUUGAAGAUCCAGGAGUACCAACUAUACCAUGCUCCAUUAAAAGAAACUAUGUUAAAACUGCUUUAUGUGAUCUUGGAGCCGGUGUUAGUGUUAUGCCUCUCUCUUUAUAUCGUAGACUUGAUUUGAAUAAGUUGACACCUACUGAAAUAUCUUUGCAAAUGGCCGAUAAAUCAACUGCUAUACCUGUCGGCAUUUGUGAGGAUGUGCCUGUUGUGGUUGCAAACGUUACUAUUUUAACGGACUUUGUUAUUCUUGAUAUUCCCGAGGACGAUAGUAUGUCGAUUAUCCUUGGUAGACCCUUUUUGAAUACUGCAGGGGCUGUUAUUGACUGCAACAAAGGCAAUGUCACUUUUCAUGUUUAUGGUAAUGAGCAUACGGUCACUACAAAAAAAUACACUUCCGUGAUGAUACGUGUUUGUCACAGUAGUUCGCAUUUUUUGUCAUGCAUGUACAUCCAUGACAAUUUUAUGACAGAAUCAAGAUAGUCAUACCUGUGCUGUCGUAGAAGUGUUCCAUGACAUUACCAAAAUUAUCAUCACAGAAGUGUCCACUUCCAUGACGAUAAAUCGCGCGUCACAGAAGUGCUUUCGUCAAGGGUGACCGACACGUGGCAUCCACCGUAACGGAACGCCGUUAAGCUAUCGGGUCCGGUUUUGGAUCCGAUAACCCGCUAACAGCCCCGACCAAUGGGGAUUUUCCACGUGUAAAAUCAUCAUUGGCUGGAGGAAACACGUGUCGGCUCACCGUUGGGACAGAUGUCAUCCACUCAUUGGACCGAAGGUGCCUAUGAUACAUCGACACAUGGCACGGCCCAACAGAGGCCCAUUCCUGUGAAUAGGCCGGCCCGUUUGACUUGGUCAAAAGGUGGCGGGCCGGCCCAUGGAAAGCCUGUUAACGACCUGUUCGCAUAUAGCCCAUUUACAACCCGCUAACCCAGGGCCCGUUACGACCUAUCCGAAUUAGGCCCAGUAGCGUCAUCUAGGCUGUCCAAUAUGAUUCCAGCCCAUUUCAAGUUCCGGCCCAUGUAUGGCCCAUGACGUCUUUCGGCCCAGACGAGGCCCUUUGUAACUCUUGGCCCAUUAACGACCCGUGGUGAAACUGGCCCGUAAUGAACAGUGUAUCACUUUAUACCCAUUAACGGCCCAUUAAUCCAUUGGGCCGUUUGCAGUCCAUUUAUUCUCGGGCUCAUUUCCAGCAUUCGGUUACUUACGGCCCGUUACUGCCAUUUUCUGCUUGUGGGCCAAAUUCAGCCCGUGGUUACAGUCGGCCCGUUUGUGGCCCGUUAAUACGUUGGGCCGUUUUCAUAGCGUCAUCAAAUACGGCCUAUUAACGACGGCCCGUUAUGGUCGGCCCAUGAACGGGCGACUCCAACUCUAGCCCGUUUACGGCCAUAAUGCGGUCUGUUUUUGGCCCAUGUUUGGCCAAUCGAUCAUACGACCCGUCUAAGGCCCAUUGAUGAUAUGGCCCGUAGAAGGCCCAUUGUUUCUACGGCCCGUAGGAAGCCCAGUGUCACUACAGUAAAUAUGUAGCCCAUGGCCUAUUAAAGGCGGGAAACUACUAUAGGUUUAGACCUGCUAAUGGCCCAAGCUGAUUAUAGGCCCACGUUUUGGCCCAUAUGAGUAACGAGCCGGCCUGAAGACCAACAACACUGAGAUCCACUGAACGUUCCGGCCUAAAUUACAGCAUACCGACCAAAGAAUAAACCUAGACUAUACAACAAAGAAAUUACGGCAUAUUAGGAAUCAAAUUCGCUACCCGGUGAUAAUAAAGCGCAACAUGACAGCGGAUUACAUACACUGGGCAUCAAAGGUCGCCACCAGUGCAUAUAAAGGCACCGACAAAAGAAUAUACAAAGCUGAGAGCACUUCAGAAGGCACUAGACCUGGCAAGCUCGGGCCCCCGCAAGCAGCCGAACAAGCUGAUGAGACCUCAGUUGUGUCAACGAUAGAUGCUUCAUCCCUAGCUGUAUGGCACCAUAGUGCGCAAGGCAGUCCCCUGACAUCUUCAUCACAUCUUUGACUUCAAGUCGGAGCUGAGCUGAAGCAAGCCUUUCUGCUUUAAGUUGAGACUGAAGAAGUCGAACUGAUUGAGGCAGUGACUGCACAGAGGUUGUCUCACACCUGCUGGUGAGUAGCUUCAACUCACUGUCUUCAUCAAGACAGGACCUUGGGGUCAUCUCGCUGUCCUCAAGAUGGUUUGGCUCACUAUCUUUCCUAAAGUUCUGCCUGGCAUAAGAGAUACGACUCUGAAAGAGAAACAAGGAGACAUGUAACAGGUUUCACAAUUAUAUAAGCAAAUAAAUGGAUCUGUUCUGCAUAAGGAACAUGCUUUUACAACUACAGUUUAAAACUGGUAGUUGUUGCAAACAUCCAAUCAGAUGUAAACAGCAGUGGAGGAAAUGAUGCCUAUCCAAAUCUAUACUAGAACAAAGUUUGAAGGCUUGAGAAGGAUGAACUUGCAUUACAUGUUAACACGGGCUGGACAAAGCCCUUCUCCAUGUUGAUGGAAAUAUAAUUCAAUAAAUUCCCCAAAGAAAAUUCUUUAUAAGCGUUGCCAUUAUUCUACAUUUUGCAAAGAGUAAAUAUAGAUCAAAUAAUAUUGGAAGAAAUAGAGGAUAAUGAAGCUCAGGUGCAGACUGAUGAUACAUAAUCAAAUAGCAAUUAAUUAAGUACAGCGUUACAAGGCAAAAGGUACUGACAAGAGGAAUGCAGACAUCAACGUUUGAAGUGGCAUUGGCUUUAUUCAACAUUUUGGUAAGAGUAAAUGUAGAUAUGAUAAUUUGGAGAAAGUGGAGGGCAGGGCAGAUAAGAUGCAGACUAAUGCUAGACAAUGAACUAUCUCACGAUGCAUGUACAGUAAUACCACCACCGUCUGUUAUUAGUUGUCGCUCAAACGGAUGUAUCUAGCACUAUUAAGUUAUAAAUACAUCCAAUUGAUCAACAAUUAAUUCGAUACAGAGGGAGUACAUGACAACAGGUACUUACAUGAGCAAUCCAAAACUUCAUAACCAUUGUGUUAAUUCUAUAUUUAUCUAAGAGUAGAUAUAGAUCUUAUAAUUUCAAGCAAAGGAAGGAUAAAGAAGCGAACAUUUACACUGAUGCUACAUAAUCAAACAGCAAUGAGUGUAAGUAUGCUGACAAAGGGCAAGAGGUACUGACAAGAGCAAUGCAGAGCCCAGUAUUGUCGUGAGAUCCUAUGAUCCUUUGAGCAAGGAGAUUCAUCUGAAAUUAGUUUUCAUACAAGAGAGAAGGUAAGUCACAUGCAGAAAUUUAGGAGUUCAAAUUUUGAAUUGAUAUCAUAGACAGUACCUGACGCUGGGCUGUCAGCAGUUCUAAUAGGGGUUUGGCCACUGGAGUAGGGGUAAAGUCUGUUAUAGUUGGGCCUGUGUUUUCUGUGGCUGCUGAUCUAUCUGAUUUAACAGGUAUCACUACCUUUUCCAAAUACCUAGUUUGUACUCCUUGAGGAUCUGCAAUCACCCUCUUCCUUUUGGACAUCUAUUACGAAAGAACAACAUUUGACUGGAAAAACAUAGUAUGACGACACAUGGAAUAGGUACAUAAAAUGGAUAGGUAUGGCAUACUCAUAUAUGAUGCUUAAACUAAGCAGAUGGUGUAACAAAGUAGAAGUAAUGCAAGAGGUCAGAUGCAAAAUAUGUGCGACCAAUACAACCUUGCCAAGUUAGAGCAUGCACCUUGAUGGGUGAAUAAGAUAGGUCAUCCUCCACCAUGCCAAGUUUGUUAGCCAGUGGAUCGUUCCGCAAUAUUCCUCUCGUGCGCCCAUUCUCAUAUUCAUUUUGAUAAUGUUCAAUACCUGACAUGCAUGAAAACAUAAAAACAAGUGAGAUUAUCUUUGUAAUGCAGAAGUGAUUCUAAUCCAAUACUUCCUCCCUGUAAACCCCUUUGUGCUAUCUCUGCAACUUCUAAGAGGUGCCAUGCAUGCUGUAAUUUGGUGUGUGCAUUAAUAUAAUGUGGCCUACUACUCAAAAUAUGAGAGCUCCAGAAGUGAUGAUACUUCGCAGAUGACAACUUCAACAUAUAGUAAAGAAGAACAAGUCGACCUGACCUGACAGAUUCAAAAUAUACUAAGGGAGAAUAACUCGACCUGACCAGUCGACCGCAAGAGAAGAGGAUCAUCUUAAAGAAGAGAAGAAGAGCAAGCAGAUUGAAGAUAUUACAAGUCUUUCUAUAUAAUGUCGGUUGGCCACCCAUGAUGAACCAGAGCGCAUAGAGAAAUACUAUUCCUUCCGGUCUCUCCAUAUGUGGCUCACAUGCAUUUCAAAACUAAAGUAGGUACAUUUAGCUAACCAAUUAAACAUCUCUCAGUUUUACUAAUAUCAGCGUAAUAUCAGAUUUGAAUUUGUACAACUAAGCUUGUUUACCUCGAUGGGUGGAGCAGUGCUAUUACGACACGAACCACAUAGGCUGAUCGUGGUCAUCAUAAAAUGGGGAAACCUUAAGCAUGAUGAGUAUAGUGUUGACCGUGGCAGUGGGAUGGCAGAUCUGAAGCUGCAAACCACGCAAAAGGUAGUUAGCAACCGAUAUUUGCUUUGAAAUAACAACUAAGAUUUGGUAUGAACAAGAAAGUACAGUCAACAAGUGACAAAGAAAUGCAAUUCUGCUGUCUCUCUAUAUAUCACGACAUGCAUUUGGAAACUCAAGUGGGACCUUUAACUAACCAAUUAAAUGUGUCUGUUAACUAAUAUUAGUAUCAUAUCACAAUCAUAUUUGAACAACUAAGCUUUGGAAUUUUGAGUGUUGUGUUGUUUAGCUUGAAGGGUGGAGUAAUGCUAGUAUGAUAGAAAGCACCUACACAGAUCAUAGUAGAGUAGAUAAAAGGGGAAAACCCUAAGCAUCAAAAGUAAAAUCAGGAAAGUGGAACUAGCUGGACCAGUGGGUGGCGCACAUGCUUUUCGAAACGAAUAUAGGAACAUUAGGUGACCAAUUAAACAUUCUCUGUUUUAGUAAUAUGAGCAUCAUAUCAGAUUCGUAUUUCAACACGUAAGCUUUGGAAUUAUGAGUGGCAUGUUGUUUCGCUUGAUGGGUUGAGGUCUCGAGGAGCAGUGCUAGCACGACACGAAGCAGGGAAGCACCUACGAUGAUGGUAGUGAAUAUAAAGGGGGGAAACCAUAAGCUUUAUGAGUAUAGUGACUAUGACAUGGCGGAUCUGAAGGUGCAAACCGGACAAAGCUACUUCGCAACCAAUGUUUGCAUUCAACUAGCCACUACGAUUUGGUACGGACAAGAAAAGUACAGUAAACAAUUUAAGAUCUAUUUUUCGGGUGAUAUCAAUAACUUAAGAACAUAUGGAAGAGUACCACCUCUCUUGCGACGCCGUGUAGGCCCCUGCUGAUACGUUGAGGGUGCUGCGGGUGCGAUGGCUGUCGGCGGCGGGGAAGAAGACUUUAGAUGGCAGACGACCGGGUUGGGGGAUAAAUCCUGUUGCCGUGGACGAGGCGGUCGUAGGAGCGGCAACGGCAAAGUGGACGACGGCGCCGAUGAAGCGAGAUGACGUGAUGAAAGGAUCCUGGUCCGACGUCGUGGAUGAGAGACGUCCAUCUCUUGCAGUGGACGACGGGGUAGGGGUAGCGGCUCCGGCAAGGUGGAGGAUGGGGUGGCGGAAGGAGGAGGCUGGCCGCAGUGGGGAGGUUGUCGUGGCGCCGACGGUGUAUGAAUGGGGAAAUGGAGGGGGAGGGGCGAUCUCAAAAUUUGGGACGCGCUUGUCUGAAAUGUGGGAAAGUUACGAACUUAUGCCCCAUUUAAAAUUUCGGACAUCACGUCAGUUGGGGAUAGGACGGUAAUCUCGCAUCUCCCAAAUAUUUGCCGGUAAUGAUUUUGGGCGAGGAGAGGGUGUUUUGCCGCCCACGGUGUAUGAACGGGGCUGACAGGUUGGGAGGUUGUGUCACGUCUGAGGGAAGUUACACAUCUGCCCCUAUUUAAAAUAUUAGUCUACAUCGAUUUCGGACGAGGAGAGUUUGUUUUGCCGCCCACCGUGGAUGAAUGGGGAAAUGGAGGGAGAGACACAUGUCUUUCGGACAAGCUUGAAUCAAAUGUGUUUUGCCGCCCAUGUUUGGCGCCCACCAUGUCUGAAUGGGCUCAGAGGCCGUCGUGUCAUGUCUGAUUGAAGUUACUAGUCUACCCCUAUCGACAGCAGUGUAAAUCCGGUCGAUAAGGAUGUCAAGUGUCAGGGGUAGACAGUAAUUUCCAUCUCAUAAACACUUGCUUCGGGCAGCCCACAAAUGAUAGUGGGUGUUUAGCCGCUUCGUUCAAAACUUGGGAGAAUUAGCAUUCAUGUUUGCCCUGGGCCCUGGCAACUAAAUCCAAAUCCAAUUUUUAUUCGAUUACGAAUAUCCACAGAUAAUUCUACGUUUUGUUAUUUAUUUCUUCAAAACCACAACAAAGAUUUAUUCCACCUUUAUAUAUGAUUAUGAUUUAGAAAUGCCGUGAUCUUCGAAUUCAGUAGGUUGGAUACACUUUGAGUCAAACAGUUAUUUCAUCCAAUACAAUAUGCUCACACGAAAAACAGUUCACCUUAUAUCAAUCAUACAAGUACUGAGGAUUACCUCGCCUAAAAAUUUUGGAUCAUUACAACACAUGGACAACAUAGGGGGUCUUACAACAUAAUCCAUUCAGAGACAUGACACAACAUGCAAGUACAAUAAUCUAAUGACAAUUUCAACUGCUAUCUAAAGAAGAACUGGGAUUACCUUGGGCUUCAGAUAGCAGAAGCAGCAGGACCUCCUCCGUCUUCAAAUGCAACAUUCUUACUUCCUCCAAUUCUUGGGUUGCAUAAUUUCCAGCUUCAAGAUCGAUAUUACCUCAUUCAUGGCAGCCACACCAUCUCUUUCUGCCUCUAGUACAGCCUCAAGAACUAUAAUAUCUGUGCUCAGACUGCUCUCCGGCGGUGUUGCCUCUGAACUGCUACCAUCUGGUAACAUGGAUGGUGCACUGCUUCCACAAAUAGAUUCUGGGGUUGUACAUUGUGUCCUAGUGUGAAUGGCAUCCUGAAAGGUUUCCGCUGGACAUAAGUAAGAUAUAGUUAUCGCAUGAUCCAGGCAGUAAGCUUACAUGGUAAACGACAUACGAAUUAUUGCGGAGCAUGGCAAGUUAUAUUUAAAUGGUUCGAAGCAGCAUCAGCCGAAAAUAAAUUAAAAUGGUAAGAUGAAACUAGGGAUGUAAGUGGCAAAUAAACGACAUCCGCCAGUCCCAUCUAGUUAGUUUUUUCUAGCUCCCUGGUUCAUUUUCCUCAAAAAACAAAAACUCUUUUGAACUAUCAUACCACUAGUGGACUUUAAUCGGGAUUAAACGGAACCCAGUUGACAUCCCUAGUUGAAAGGGAGUGUACCACCGCUAAGUUGCCAAGGCAUCUAAGCAGUUGAAAUAAUCUGAGAAAGCACUUAACAGUGUGGCCUCAUAUAAACUACGAAGACAGUCUUGUGAUGAAGUUCAGAGGAAAAGUUAAGGACUCAAAUGAACUAGGCAUGCAUUUCUUUACGAUAGUACAGCAGGCACUGCUGACAUAUUGGCCAACUCAGGUAUAGCGUAACAAGUAACAAACAAGCAUUCGAAUCAAGCAAUACAGCAAAGCAGACAACUGAACUAUUUGUUAUUCUGUAGGAUUACAGGUUGAGGGCACAAGCCAAGAAAGUAGCCCACACGCAUUACAUUUCACAUGUACUAAAACACACUGGCUUACCAUAUGUUGCUAUGAAGCCUCGCUGCUGUUGCAAUGUUCUUUGAAGAUAUCGUCAGCAUCCCGUGGUUGCAAAUCUACUUGUUGUAGUUUAUUCUGCACCCUCUAUUUAUGUAAAAUUAAUUUUAAUCGCAUGCACUGGUUCGAAUUGAUCAUCAAUGGUUCAUCUAAACUAAUGAAAGAAGGGUGUGUGCAUACACGACAAUAUAUCUUCUUCCCUCUAUUUUUAUGCUUGUUCGAGGUGCCAGCCCCAAAAUAAGAAAUAUUUUGCUUGAUGGGGUUGGCAGCUCCAUAAUUAAUAGAAGUAUCAAAUUAGUCAUGCAACUUGGGAAGAUCAAGAACACACAAAAAAGUAAUGAACAAAGGCUCGUAGCAGUGAUGUAAUAGCUAGCAUCAGAAAAUGUAGGGUAAAACAAACAAAAACCAGCGGAACCACAUGCUAGUUUGCUGAUGUGUAAUUAAUCAUAGAGAACAUGAAGCAGUCUGAUGGAACCAACAGGUGGCAUCAGAACAACACCAUUAUCAUAAAUAUAGCAUGCAAGAAGUAAAAUAGUAGGCAGUGAUAUCUAGGAAGUACAGUAAUACUUAGGACAAAACUAAAGCAUAUUAACUAUAUGCGCACUGGUAUGUAAUUUAGCACAUGUAACAUGUUCACUGCCAAAAGUAUGGCCCUACAGGUGCAAGCAGAAUAACGCGUCUCAUGAAAAACUGAAUGAUGCCCUGAAGAAAUUCAAAGGUGCGGUGCUUAUGCUAAGAAAGUGAACGUAGGCGCCGGCCGUUGGAUAAUAGUACCUGAUUCUCGGCGGCGUAUGGGUAUCGUUGGCAUACUUGAUAGCUAAGGAUCGUCGAUGGUGCUCGUGUUGCGGUUGAGUUUGGCCGGCUGUCGCUGUCGCUGAAGCGGCUCCGGUGCUACGGUUGCGGCGCCUGUCGACAUACAAGAAAGCUCAUCUGUGGUAAGUGAACAGUUGCACUAUAAAGAGAAAAACCAAAGGAGUACAGAUCGAAAUAACCUGAUGAGGCUGCGGCGUCGGUAAAGCAGGGCCGGUGGAGUUGAAUAUGGCGUCCGUGGAGCGGGUCCGGUGCAGUGGACGAAGGCUUCGGCGGGCGCGUUGUACAGUGCUUUCGGUGAGGCGGAUCUGUUGCGGCGGACGAGGGCUUGUAUGAAGGGCCAACAAAGGGACGGAUGAGGGAGUCAGUGAAGGGCCUACACUGUGGUGGACGAGGGCGCCGGUUAAGCAGAUCCGGUGCGGUGGACCAUGAUGGCGGUCCAGGAGAUCUGGAGCGGUGUACAAGCCGGUCGCUGAAGCGGCUCCGGUGAAGUGGUGAGUUGGCAGUUGGGGGUUCCAAGGUGCGGAAGGUAGAUCUGUCGGGGUGUGAGGUCCACCGCUGCGGCGGAGGACUAGAUUCGGGGGCUUGCCGUGGUUGGGGGGGGGGUCGGGGAGGGGCUCUGGGGAAGAAUGUUGGGGGCAAAGAGGGGAAAACAAUGGAGUUACCAGAGCAGCCCUUUUCCGUUCAUGUGGCAGGGGUAAAACAGGAAUAUCGCAGGGAUAAACUUUCGGGCGCGAGAUAUUUCGAUGUGAGCGGGAAGUUUGAAAGCUUUUGGCGCCUGAAUGCUCUUGUACGGCCGACUAUGAUAUCAUGGCCGAGAAUUUGUUUGUUUUGCACGCAAAAAAAGUGCAAGUUUGAAAAUCAAUGUUUCCAACUCGAAACUUAGAUUGUCCAUUCAAUUCAAAUAUGGAUCAUUGAGCUACUACAAGCAAAUACCAUCAUAUGGUCCAAUUCAAAUGAAAUUCCAAAUGUGUUUAUCCUAAAUAUGAUGAAAAAAGCAAAAAUGUGUAUGUGUAUGAAUAAAGUGGAUGAUUAUAAAGUUUGAACAUGCCCGUAUGUGUAUAUCUCUAGGUUUGAUAUAUGAAUUUGAAAUCACGAAAUCCCGGCUUAAAAUGUACCUCCGUUUAAAUGAAUUACAAAAGCUAAUGAUGGAGUCAAAUUCCAAAAUUCCAAUCUUAGGUUUGUAAUUCUGGUACACCAAAGUAUAUCACGCAUGUUCAAAAGUAUCGUUAUCUCAUAGUCCAAACUAUGAAACAAAUUGAUCAACCUUGAGUGCACACACUAUUGACCAUGUAUAUCUCAAUUACGCUAAAGUCCCUCAAAUAUAGACACCUCACUCUUUAUCUGAAGCACCCCCCCUCGUCGCCCCCCACACAUACACACAGAAGUCGUUCUCUCCCCCAAACACCAACACACGAGCACAUUAACACCCCUCUCUCUUCUAAAGUCCGGACCCCAAUAUAGGUCUCUAUCACUUUAUCUCUUGGGCAUGCACACAUCUCUUCCCCCACUCUCUAGCUAGGUCUCCCGGCAUCUCUCUUUCCCAAGCACACGAACUAUGUAGAGUGUAUCUUUCCCAUACACACAAAACGUCGCCCCCAAACGUCUAUCUCCCUAGUUAUGUGGUUCUCGCACACUCACCUCACACACCACCCCACUGCAAAACAAGCACACUUUGUCUCCUUGUGCACCACUCUCCUCUUUCUAUCUCUCCCACAUGCGGACCCGCCCCAGCUCCUCCCUGUAUACAUAUAUGUCGUGACUCUUUCCAUAGCUCCCUAAUGUAUCAUCGUUCUCGAUCUCGCACAUUUUUCUCUACACCAUCUAUUCUAGAUCUCUCAUGAAGUCCCUAUCACACACACGAUGACUCGCUUCCCUUGCGUCUCCGUACAUAGGCCAAUUUCAAACAACAUCAACAUUGUCUCCCUAUCUAUAUGCCAUUUAUGGACACAAACGCCCCCUCUCUUCCUCUCUCUCUCUCUCUCCGUCGCUAGCUCUCUCUCUCUCUCUCUCUCUCUCUCUCUCUCGCUCUCACACCCCUCUCCCACACACAAUCGAUGUCUCUUCCAAAUAGUCUGCUCCCCCCGCCCGCACCCAUGAUAUCCCACUACUACACAUGUCACACCAUUCCCCCUUCCCUUAUACUAGGUUUACAUCAUUAGUGGUCUCUCUACUCCACAUACACACACUCCCUCUCACACACAAACGCACGCACAAACACACACAGACACGCACAAACACCCACUAAUCUAGAUCCUCAUCUCUCCCCAUGUCCGCAUGUGUAUCUCGCACACUCACUCUCUAAUUAUGUAUACGUGUCUCCACGUCAACACAAAGCCCCAUGUACAUGUCUCUCUCUAUCCUCCACACACAUAGACACAAAGAAUCUGUUAUCAUUGCCUCAGUCUCUAGACAUAUCACACACGCACACUGUCUCUCUCUCUCUCUCUCUCUCGCAAACACGCUCAACAAGGGUUUCCCCGUGAAUAACUUACUAUCUAUUCAUCAACAGUCAUGACAGUACGGCGAACACGAGACGUGAAAAAGAAUAAAUCUACACGUGCUUAGACCACCUAGUAUGACUACUAGGACUAGAGCAAGCCAAAAAGCGCGCCGCCGUCACCCCCUCCUUAUCGGCGAUGGGAAAACCAUUGUUUUACACAGUCGAGAAGUCAUUGUGCUAAGGCCUCACAUGCUGAGGCGUUGAAUAGAAUGUAGAUGCUAGUUUACGGAAACAAGUAUCGAUAAUAAGUUUGUAUCUCCAUACUUAUAUUUCUUCUCUUAUAAAAAACCGAGUUGGUGAUGAUGGUACGCGUGCCAUCUUGCAAUAUAGAUUGUCCGAUCUAUAUCUGACUGAUGGAAAUUAAACUAAAAGAUACCCACACCCCUCUCCACAUUUGCAGACAAGGCCUUCCCUCGUUCAUCCUUAUCUCCAACAACCUCAUUGUUGAGCAAUUAAGAAAGGAAGCCUCUGGAACAAACUGGCCUGGUGGCCGCUGCCGGCGUCAUCAAUCCCCAUGCCUCUGCUCAGUCCGACCACCGAUCACCACCACGCCCCACUCCUCUUCACCUUAUCUCCUAUUUCUCGAGAUAUCAUUAGUUUUUACACAUGGUAUUACUCCCGCAUGGGUCAAUCACAACGAGUGUUUUUAUUAAAAAAAAUGCAUCUUGAUGUUCCGUGCAAUGCACGGAUCUUGCUAGUACUCCUACAGAAGACUAAGUUGGUGAUGAUGGUGCAUCUGCCAUCCGUCGUUUGUGACCAUUAGAUCUACAUCUAACGACUGUGAGGUAAGUUGUUGCCUUUUCUCACAAGCAUCCCACUUGUCUACCAAUUUGCAGAAAAACCCAUAAUUAGUAUCUUAAAACUAACCACAUCCCUCCCUGACCUCACCAAAACAGCCCAAGGAAUAUAUUCUAAUUGAAACAUAAUAUAUCUCUAGUGAUAUAUGUAUAUCAAAAUUAGAGUGUUUUGUAUCAAGUUUGUGAAUAAGUAUUAUUCUAAUUAUGAUUCGUUGCAACGCACAUGAACAUUGCUAGUAUUUCCAACCAUGCAAUUUUUUCCCUAGUAUUCCAUAGUUUCGAGUUUUCCAUCAAGAUAUUAGUCACUCAUGGUUGAUAUUUACUUUCAAUCAUGUACACGUAUGCACUAUGUAACUAGCCUUGCUUAUUGGGUUCCAAAGCUUAACUUUCACUCCUACUUACAAUAUGUAGAGUAUUUAACAAAAAACUACCACUUUCAACCAGCCCUAGGAAGAAUCUAUUGUACAAAAAUAGCAAAAACAUACCCAAAAUUUCUUAAUACACGCCAAAAACUACCACCUACCGAUUAGGUUAGUUUAAACCCAUUUAUGAUAGGGUUGGCCCACACGUCUGUGCUGACGAGGCAGCUUAAACCAACACAUUUUGUUUGACCGUUGACACGAGGGACCCACAUCUGACCUUCUAUCCUGUUAUUCCCCCUCAAAUCAUUAUUUUUUCUGAACAUUACUUCAAACAGUGCUGAUGCGUGUUCGUCGGUGGCGCCGGUGAUGAGCGAGUUGGCCGCCGCUCCGUCGGACGGGCCGGAUGCCGCGCGGGCCUCCGCACGGGUUGGCAGGCUGGCCUGAGCGUGACUCACGAGCGAGCAAGCCGCCGCGCUGGCCUUCGCUCGAGCCAGAUGGCUGGCCUUAGUGUGGCGCGCGCGAGCAAGCCGCCGCGCCGCCGUGCCAAUCUAGCUAGCAAACCUUGCAGACAAGCAGCUGGACGGAGCUAUCUUGGCUAGCUAGCGGCCGCAAGCGCCGGACGGAGCUGGCAUCCAGGCUGCCGCAAGAUGGGAUCCGCACCGCCGACGGUUUUGACCUCGCCUUCUGCCGGCGGCGGUAGCUGCGUCCCAUGGUCGAGGAUGACUAGGUGGACGGGCCGGAGGUAGGAGGUUACUCGGGGAUCUUUGUGCAGACUGACAUAUAGGUCCCACAAGUCAUAACGCCCGGUCGAAUAGAAGGCGUUGACUUAAUGGGCGACACGGGCCCUGUUUGGAUACUCUAAGUCAGAGGUUAGAUUCUAACCCUGAACUAACUCUAACCAAAGUGGUGUUUGGAUGGCAGGGUUAAAUUGACAACAAAUGUAUCCAAACAGGGCCAUGGGUUGAAACGUGCCUAUAACGGCACUUUGUAGUGUAGUCGUUUCUUGGUAGGGCUGGUUGGUAAGAGCAUGUACAAUGGUUGAUAAGGUAGUCUUAUCUUAAGUCUGCCACGUAUGCAAGUGGUAGUAGUUUCUUGGCAUUAUUAGUGGUUUCUUGCAUUAUUAGGGGUUUCUUGUAAGGAACAAUGUACUACUAGCGACAAAAGGCGAUUCUAGGUUGCGUUGUACUCCAACGAGUACUACUAGUGGUCGCGGGAGUGUAUACCUCGUUUUGUGGGUUCGAUCCCAGCCGAACGCACGGCGGACUUUUUUUAAAAUAGUAACUUCACUGCGAGCCAAUAUAUUACACGGGGAGUUUGAGUUUUGAAGUCAAACGGACGUGCGGCACCACAAUCUAGGUGCACUGGAUAGCCUAGCCACGUGAACGGGUUUUCCUUCCCAGCAUCUCGUGGCUUGCGUGCUCGCCCUAGCCGCACCUCGCUUGCAGCUUCCUCAUCAGCUAGUAGCAUAUUUAAACUAGCACCUCCCAAUUAAGCCCGAGGAGCCAGAAAAGCCUGGCGGGGCAUUGGGAACUGUGCAAUAUGGCUCUGUACGUAAAGUGCUCUACUACUACUCUGUAGCUUGUGGCGUUGCACGCAUGGACUUCACUCCAUUAUCGGCUCUACUAUAAAAGAAAUUCCUCUUGACAUGUUUUUUUGAAACGGAGGCAAAAGCUUUGCUUCAUCUCAUUCAUAAAGAAGGAACUACUAACAAAGUUCGACGAGAUCCAUUACACCUCCAUAAAUGGAAGCGAAAAGCCUAGUCUCGCUGUAUCAAAUAACUCAAAUGUUCUGCCCCCGCAGUAACCGUCGCUGAUAAACAGGCUGCUAGUGUGUGCGUGAGAGGAACGGCUGAGUAGGCCAGCUACGUGAGAGGAGCGGCUGAAUAGAGCACCGAGAGUACCCACUAGGCCACUACGCAGGUGUACUUUCCCUGCAUUGAUAGCACAACGAUGGUUCUAGAGAACAGUAGUACCCUCCACUUCCAACUGUAGCUCCUUGGCCCUGAGAUUCAAGAGUUCAAAACUGGUGCACUAUACUAGAAGUAUAGUACAUAGCACUAGUAGUACCCACGCACUACUAGUUGAGAAAGUAGUACUAGUACUGCUAUAGUACGAGUACGUACUCCUCCGUCACAUAAUGUAAGAAGUUUUUUGACACUAGUUGGCGUGUACAAAAAAUAGCAAAAACAUACCCAAAAUUUCUUAAUCCACGCCAAAAACUACUAGCUAGUGCCAAAAAUUUCUUACUAGUGCUAUUAUUUACAGUGUAAUGCAAUCCCAUAACGUCCCAUAAUGCUAGUACUAGUAGUAAAUAAUAGCCUCACCCCUUCGCUAUAGUUGGAAGGAACGAUCUACAGUUGGAAGGGACGAGGUCCUGCGGUUACUACGCUCUUAUCUCCUCCUCGCCAGUUCCCCUCCCCCCGAAGAGAAGGCAGUUUGUCGCUGCUCCCAUGGAUUCGCCAGGCGGUUCUCCUCCUCGUCGGGGCUAGGAGACCUUGGACGACAAUCCUCUGGGAGAAAUCGCACGCCGCUCCGACGUCCUCACCGCCGCAAGACUCGGUGCUUCCUGCACCAACUAUUUCAAGACGGUGCUUAAAAUGGCUUGGGAAAAGGCCAUGCUUGUUGGUCUUCCAUGCGUCCUCGAGGAGAAGGUUCUUCUAUGGGACAAUCCUUUGAACAAUCCACCGCUCCCUAGCCAUGGUUGCACGUUGACUCCGCCAGAGUUGCCGACGUUGAGAGGUAGUCGGAUUUUGUCCGAUGAGCAGGUCAGUAAUGGAGUUUGAUCAGGUAGUACUUAAUUAUUCCAUUUCCAUCCCGUAAUUUCUCCGCUGCCCACCGUCAUAUAUAUAGGUCUGGGUCGGUGCCAACGAAGAUUGGCUUGCAUACCUCCGGCCGGAUACCACCAUCAUUUUGCACAACAUCCACAGCAGUGCGGCCGUUCUGGUAGACCCCUUCUCCACCAUUGGGAUCGGCCUUCCGAACUGGCUGGGCUUGAAUACGUAUGAUGAUGCCUACAUGAGAUUGAAGAAGAUAGCAAUUGCGGACCCGCCGACAAAGCGGCGCGGCUACGAUGAUUACUAUCUCAUCGCGGUGUUCGACAUAAGGAUUGCCAUCAAUGCAAGAUGCAGUAACGGCAGAGGCUGGCGCAUGUUGGCGGCGGCAGAUUUGUACCCCUACACGUUCGAAGACGCCGUGCGCCAUCUAGGCCGCAUCUUCACGGUGACAAGCCAGUGGACUUGUUUAAUCUGGUUGCCAUCCUACGGUACGGGAGAUUACAAACGAAAUGCACAAACCAUCAUUUGCAUCCCUAACGGUACUCCAUUAUUUUACAGGGACCAGUCAUCCUGCGAUCAAAAUAAGAUCGCCGAUCCUAGAUGUGCAUUUGCAUCCGCGAGUCGGUCUAACCUGGAACCUUGUAGCUGACUUUGGCAUAUUGGGAUCAACUAUCUUAGCAGUCGUUACCCAUGGUAUCACUGAUGUGCAACAUGGUCACACAAUCUACCACGAUCGGACCGUCACCAUCUACCCAGGUAUUCCAUUUUUUAACCCUCUCGCCUUCUCUUUCAUUGUUGUACUAGUACUCUACUUACGUACUAGUAGGAGUACUUUUUACCUUGGAGGACGCGUAUAGCUAGCUAGGCCCUUGAAGACUUGAACCCACUAGCUGCCACCAUUUUUGUUUUUCCAUGUCUUACUAUCUCAUCCAUGUAGCCAACAGUGGCUAUAUAUAAUAAGCCGAUUAUUUUACUUCCUCUAUACCGGAGUAGUACUAUUUUCUGCACAGUAUUACUGACCGCCAUAUUUGAGCACAACAUUAUUAUGCAUGUACCUUGACUAUGUAUGUCACCAUGUGUCCAGAUAUGAGAUGCCGCGUGUACCAGAUGAACGGCGCCGAGUUCGACCCCCGUGAUGCUACGUGGGUGCCGAGGAACACUCUUGGAGAGUACUCGCUUUUCAUUGGGGACAACUACCCCAUUGUGAAGCGGAUGCCACCUUCCGUGCACGACACGGAAGGCCUGCCGUUCAUGAAGCAUGGUUGUGUCUUCCGUGCGCACCGUCGGAUGAAUGACAUGCUGGGACACGCUAUCCCUGAUUUAUGCCGCUUCAGCUUGGAUGAGUCUCCAUCGUGUGGAACCGGACUAGAAAGCUGCGACAAUGAUUCCCGUUGCCCACCGCUAUGGAUCGUGCCAUCCAUGAAGAACACCCGGGACUGGAACCCGGAGGAGGACAUGUAGCCCAUCUAUAACGUGUAAGUGGAGUACGGUAAAUUGUGAACGGUAGCGCUGUGAAUAUAUGUAGACUAGUCGUGCACAAAUUUAUCACAUGAAUUGGAGAUGAACUUGUGUGGCAUACUGGCAUUUGUCCUUUAGAAUUUAUUACUAGUAAAUGUGUUAUGUGUACGUGCAACUUGUGUGGUUGUUGCACGGGCUCCAACACGCUCUUUGAGAAAAAAAGGUGGCACAGCUUUGGAUAUACGUGACGUGGUGGCAUCAUACAGUAGCAUCGUUCGCUAUAGUUGUAGUACGCUCCUACUAGGACGACAACUCCUAUAAAACCUUGCGCUUGGCUCUUUGCCUCUUCGGGAGGUUCAACAGUUCGUACUCGUGUGAACCUUGCACUUGGCUCUUCGCCUCUUCGGAAGGUCCAACAAUGAUGAUACUACAAUACACAUUAUCCUUCUGGCAAUCUGACACCGAUUGAACUGCUGCACGUCCACCGCGAGGGCGAGGGCGAGGGAGAGGGAGAGGGAGAGGGCACGCUGUAGUCAAAACCCUCUCCUCAUCUUGCGAACCACCGCGCGCGUGGGCGAGGGAGAGGCGUAGUAAGCAAGCUUCUCCUCGUUCGGUGAGUUGACGGGACACAUCAAAGCAGUACUAGUACUAGUCCAUACUGCAUCCUUUCCGGUUAAUAUGGCUUAAUUUGAAACGAGAAAAAUACACUGGCGGUCAACGUAUGUAACAAUACGCUCUUUACGGUCACUAUAUAUAGUUUUGCGGUGAUUAUACAAUCACUAGCUCAUCGUAGAACACCGUAUUGCACCCUACUGACCGGCCACAUAGUCGACGUGGCACUUUGUUGACUGGUUAAAUUGUCACCUGGUUUCUGGGUCCCACCUAUCAGUUGGCAGAGCAAAGAAAUCAGCUAAAAAACGAAGAGUGUAGUACAUCUACACUUCCAAUGCAUUUAGCCUUUAAUCUAAAUCGAUAUUGAUUGACUAAUGCACCAACUUGUGCUCUAGGUAUAGGCUACAUGUCUAUCCUUAAUUACAGCAUGCAACGACCUUCAUUUAAUCUUCUUCUCUCAAUGGUCGCAUGCACACAUAACUUUUGGGCGUUAAUUAUGCCCUGGUCAAUGUGUAAAUCUCUAAAUAUACAGUCUUUCACGGACGUAGGGAGUAGGUUGAGCACUUGAGCGUGAGCGUGUGUGUUGCGUCGUGUGUUGUGUGCCGCAUGGGUGCGUGAGUGUUGCGUGCGUCCAUGUGUACGUGUGAGUGUUGCAUGUUGCAUGCAUGCAUGGGGCUUACUCCCUCCCAUUGACAUGUUCAUAUUUCAAGCUUCCUCUGUUCCCUCCAUAUGGUGAUACUCCCUCUGUUCCCAAAUACGGAGUAAAAUCCUCCCUCUGUUCCCAAAUACGGAGUAAAAUCCUCCCUCUGUUCCCAAAUACGAAGUAUUUGUCUUUCUAGAGAUUUCAACAAGUGACUACGUACGGAGCAAAAUGAGUGAAGUGAGCGUAGACGCAUAGGGAUAAUGUAGAAAGGAAGUCUUCGCGAUCCAUUAUUCCCCAUCUCGGUCAGAGAGAACUAUUCAACUAGUCUUCGCAGUGAAGUGACAAUACACGCUGCAGCAGAUGGGACACUUAAUUAAUAAGCUGAACCAGCGUGUUGGUGUUACUAAAUCAGCCUUACCCAGUAGUGCCAUCAUGUUUGCCAGUAGAGCACGCUUCUGUCCUCCAUUAACUGACAUAUGGGCCCUCUUGUGGUAUACCCACAUGUCAUCGAUGUAACUAUUUACAAUCCGAAGGACGGUAUAUCCUAGUAGUAGUAGUAGAAUUGAGAUUUAAUGCACUUUCUUCCCCGUCUUCCACUCUUCUUCCUCCUCUCUUCUUCUUCCUCCUCUCUUCCCCAUCGUCAGCCGCACACCAUUUCCCCCCGCUCACUGCUCGCCCGCCGGCGCUAUCUUCCUUGGUAGCUCGCGCGUACCAUAUCCCCCCGCUUACUGCUCGGCCACACGAGGAGAAGCUUCUUCGCUCGCCCGCCCGAAUCCACUUCCCCGCUGGCUCACAGGCACCGAAAACCCCAAUGGCAGAACCGACUGACACGCAGAGCCGUGAUUGGAAUUCCCUCCCCGAUGUUCUCUUGGAGCAGAUCUAUAAUCGUAUGGACCUACUCAGCACCGUCUGUCUGGCCGCAUGCUCAGUGUCUUUGUACCGUCUACUCGUCUGCAACCGGCCGGCUCUUUUCAAGACACCCUGCUUGCUGAUGCCCGAUCCUCGCAGGUGGCCCAGACACUGACUUGACGAUCCUACGGAGGUUGCCGUGGUGCCCCUUGACAUGCUACCACUACCCGUCCACCUGCCCUUCAUGCGCGGCCACUACUGGGCGGGCAUGAAGGCCAACUGGAUCGUCCUCAUCCACUAAUCCGGUAGUCCGUGGCGUCUCGUGGAUAUCUACACCCAGCGAGAGAUCACCCUUCCAUCUUUGGAUACCGCCGCCAUCGAGCCUCGCGGCCCGCCAGACACUCCUGCCUACUACGCACGAGACGCAUCGAGCUUUUGGCUCGACCUCUGUUUGCUGAAGGUUGUAAUCUGCGAAGUGCCCACACCAUCAGAAGACUACAUGGAUUACAAGCUCAUUGCCGUGUUCAACAUGGGAUUAGUCUAUCUGGAAUCCGGUCGCCAUACAUGGUUAUGGCUCAUCGUCGAUCCUCUUCACCCAACACUUCUGUCUGAUGCUAUAGUGCACGAUGGCAUCGUUUAUGCGGUCGACGCAUAGAUUGGCUGCCUAAACUGGUGGAAUCUAUCAUCGUGUAAUUGUUCUAUCUCAUCUCAUCUUUACCUUAAGAAUACGACUGCCUGUUCAUUGUUACAAAUUUAGAAUAUAUAGUAUGUCUAUAACCACAUCAUUGCUAUAUGUUCCUCUCAUUUCCUAGAUUUUUAUGACCACACAUGUUAUUGUUAGAGUUGAUAUGAGAACAAUUGGUAUCUAAUGAUUGUUAGAAUAGAUAUUAUGAGUAUAACCUCAUGAUUGCUAUAUGUUACUCUCAUUUCCAGGAUUUUUAUAACAACGCAUGUUAUUGCUUAGAGUUGAUAUGAUAACUGUAGUAAGUGCUAUGGUAGAAUAUGAGUAGGCCCUGUCAUAUCUGUUUUCCUCUCAUUGUUACAUGAUGUUUGAACCAUGAUAUAUUGCUAGAAUAUGAAAGCCAUUGGCUUAUUUUUUUAACUUGGGGUAUGAUUAUGACCACGGCAUUGCAAUUCUCUAUCUAUGAUAUGUGUCACUGUUAUAAUAAUCUUAAUUCCACACAUACUCUGAACAUGAUUGUUUAUUUUUGUCCUUUUGGUCUCCAAUUUGAAUUGUUGCAGCAGACACAAAUGCGCUGGCCUUCAUGAUUCCAUGACCUGGAAUCAUACCAGCCGAUGGGUGGUGGUUUAUCGCUCGUUCAGCUGACGGUGGUCAUUUGAUGCUCAUUUGCACGUACCAAAUUGACCAAACCAUUUCAUCAAACCACAUGCAGUACAAUGCCUGGGGCGUUCUUGACAUUGAUGGCUAUGGCUGCUUCGUGUUCGAGAAAGAUCCCAGCUCUGUUGGGCCAGGCGUAUUCAACUGGAGGCGGGUUUACAGCCUCGGCAACCACUCCAUGUUCCUCGGGCUCAAUUAUCCGAUCAUCCAACCAAUCAUCGAUCAUAUCACCGGCGAUGAUUACUGUGCUAUGCAACUUCCAUUCGCCAGGGGGGACUGUGUUUACACAUCAUACCUUGGGUUUUAUGAAUCACCAUAUCCAGAGAUUCGUCGACACAGCUUGUUGCGAGAUAAUCUUCAGUGUGUGAAAGGCAUCAAGCUUCCAUGCGAUGGAUGGCUUUUGCAAACCUGACAUGCGGCGAUGUGGUUCAUGCCAACGGCAAAUAUGCACAACUUGAUUCGUACUGAUAUGUAGACUGAGCCAUGUAUUCUGCUGCUGUAGCACGACCCUCUUUUGUUGGACUGUUGUUAGUUUGAAGCACUCCUCUGGUUUGAAGGAUAGAUACCUUUCUGGGAUCAAGUGCAUCCUAACACACCUGCGCAGGAUGUACUGAUAAUGAUGAUGGANNNNNNNNNNNNNNNNNNNNNNNNNNNNNNNNNNNNNNNNNNNNNNNNNNNNNNNNNNNNNNNNNNNNNNNNNNNNNNNNNNNNNNNNNNNNNNNNNNNNNNNNNNNNNNNNNNNNNNNNNNNNNNNNNNNNNNNNNNNNNNNNNNNNNNNNNNNNNNNNNNNNNNNNNNNNNNNNNNNNNNNNNNNNNNNNNNNNNNNNNNNNNNNNNNNNNNNNNNNNNNNNNNNNNNNNNNNNNNNNNNNNNNNNNNNNNUAUAUGGGAUUGACUAUUCGUCACCCUGGGUGAGGAAUAGUUAUUCUUCACCCCCUCUAUUUCACCACUAAUGCAUUGUAAUUUUACAUUCCGCAAGUUUUGUCUUAUUUCUAACGUAAAAAGAGAUCGUAAGAAAAUAUAUAAUCGCCAUAAAAAAUAUUUUAUGUUAUGUAAAAUUACAAACGUAAAAACAUAGUGUAAAAUAUACAUAAACUCCAAAUUUUCUUGUCUUAUGACCUAUAUUUUUAUUUUCUUAUACCAAAUUCUACGUAGUGAAUCAAUAGGAAUGUAAUUAUUUGAAUUCCAAAUGUAAUUUAAUUAUGAUAUGAUCGUAAGAUUACCUCGGGUGAAGAAUAACUUAUUCUGCACCCUGGAUGAUGAAUAGUAACACUAUAUAUAUAUAUAUAUAUAUAUAUAUAUAUCACUUAGGCUUCAAGUGCGUACUUGUUAGUUAAACCUAUGGUUAAAAUGUGACACUAAAUACGACUAGUAAGUAGUACAGUAGCAGUACUAGUAUACGUCGGUCAAAUUAUUCAUCAUGUUCACACAUUGAAUUGACGUGACAACACGCUGCGCGUGAGGUGACACAAGAAUCCCGGCGGCGUGUUCGGGUAUUCUGGACUUCAGAUUUGGAGUACCACUUAUCUGUCGAAAUCUUUCAUCAUUCACUUAAAACAGUCGAUUGAUCAUACAUUGAGUACCAUAUAACUGGAAUUAACCCAUGCAAGUCGAAGAAGGAUUGGCCGGUGCUGCCGGCUGGCGUCAAGUUCGAUCCCAUGGAUCAGGAGCUGAUCGAGCACCUUGAGGCCAAAGUGAGUGCUGACAGCGCGAGAUCUCACCCUCUCAUCGAUUUGAACAUACCAACCAUCGACAGCGAGCACGGCAUAUGCUACACCCAUCCUGAGAAAUUUCCAGGUAAGACACCGAUCGGCCGUCUACUUGCACAAACAUAUUCCUUUGUUUAUAGCUCUAUUUUUCUUUUUAGACGCAGACCUGAAAAGUGAAACAAGUGACUGCAACAUGGCAAAGAUGUUAUGAAAAUGCCAACUACGUACACUAAAACCUGUAUUCGACAAUACUGUAGGUAUCACACUGAGUGGCCUAAGCAAGCAUUUCUUCCAGCGCAAUUCCAGGGCGUUCAAAAGGGGCACGUGGACGCAUCGCAAGAUACAGUCGGAGUGCGGCAUGCCCGCGAUGUGGCACAACACCGGCAAUACCUUGCCGGUGAUGGUCAACGGCCGGCAGACGGGCAGCAAAAAGGUUCUGGUGCUGCACACCAACAAGAACUUCGACCAGCAGAGGACCAACUGGGUGAUGCACCAGUACCACCUCGGGGACCUGGAGCAAGAGAAGGAGCGGGAGCUGGUCCUCUGCAAGAUUUUCUACCAGACGAACACUAGGGCGAGGAGUAAAAAGAUUAUAAGUUAGUUUGGUAUUGAUACUUGUACUACCUUGUCGUCCGCAAGUUGGUAUUGUUGUUAAUGAUCUUUUGGUAUGAACUUGGCAUUUGCUUCCAACCAUCAUGCCAAGGGUCGAGGUGGAUAUAAAGCUGAUUCAUUUGUUUCCAAACGAAUUUUCAGGCACCUGAUUUUUAUUUGAUGGGUAGCAUAAGCAUCUGCCGUUCGAAUUCCCAGUUCUCCAAAUUUUUCGAAACAAGUGCAUGCUCUUAUUAUCACGAUGAAAAAACAAUAUCCCUGCUGCAUCCCAGUUAUCAGUCUGUACUUGCAGAAUUCUCUCGUUUAUUGAGCACAUAUAUUGUUUUUUCAGGUCGAGCAAGUUUCAACUGGGCUGUAGACUGCCCAGGCUUGGUUUUGUUUUUAACAGGCCCAGCCCAUGACGACAACGGGGCACAAAGAUCCAGCAGGUAUCUACUGGCCUCUGGCCCGCCAGCGUUAGUUAUAUUUUGUCUUACAACAUCCGCAGGCACUUUACUGAAUCAAACACACAACCAAUUUCUAUUUUCCUCUUGAAACACAUGCCCUACAUCCGUUUUCUAAUCUCUACCUAUAGUUUUACUAGUUCAUAUACACGUAUCAUUAUAUUGAAAAUACAUAAAAUUCACUUUUCAUAUUUACAUCCUUAUUUUUGUUGUUGUUUUCCCUCCCAGCGCUGAUUUUUUUAGCACUGGUUUUCCCUUAAACCAACUCAAUUGUCCCAUGUCUUAUUUGCUUACAAAAACAAAACGAUUUUUUUGGCAAAUCAAUAAGUUCUUCAAAAAAUGUUUACCAUUUCGGGAUUACAAAAGUUCGGACUCCACCGAAAUAUGCAAAAUAAGGUUGAACUUUUUGACCGUGGUCCUGGGCAGAAAAUGGGCUGUAAUAAAUUACUUAAGAAUUAGCAAAUGGGCUGCAAAUUAUUAAAAAAUAGCAAAUUGGCUCUAUGUUGUCUGCCACAGAUUUGGAGGCUGACUUGUGGGCCUACUAAGUUCAUGCGUGCACAAGGUUUAUCAAAAAAGAAACUUAGUCAAUAAUCGACUCUACCAGCGUCAGACCGUUAGAUGUCAAUCUAACGACAAUCGUGCUUCUUCAGUCUCUGAUCUUCCUGCCCCAGCCGCCCAAACCAGCGCCGCCGGAACCGCCUGCUCCCGCCUCCCAUGGCCGGCUGUGCUGCCGGACAGGCCUCACGACCCCAUCAUAUACUCGCAUCCCUGGCCUGUCUAUCCCUCUACUCACCCACACCUCCUGUUAUUUUUCGGCGACGACAGCCGAACCAGUCAACCCUCGUACUCUCCACCGCGUGGGCAGCCACUGCCGUGUCUUCCCCGGCUCCGUGUCGUUCCCUUCGUAGGCCUCGCCGUCGUCCACCGCCCUGGUGCUCUCGGCGCGGCGUGGUCAACGAACGACAUCCAUCGAAAGUGGACUGUACGUGGAGAGGCUGACAGCUGGGUCCACGGCCGCACACAAGGAAAUGCCUCCUUAUUACGCGCAGAAUAAUGAUUCCUCCACGUGACAUCUGGGACCCGCCGGAAGGGCCUCUGUAUUUCACGAAAAAACGUUCCCUCCGCUGACAGGUCGGACCCACCAACUAUAUCUUCGCACGCAAGGAAGUGCCUCCUUAUUACGGACAAAAAAAUGAAUACCCCCUGCCAGCUCGGACCCACCACAGUGGGAGGCUGACUUGUGGGCCUACUAAGUUGACGGGGACGGAGGGCUUUGUCAACUUAGUCAAUAUGAACGAUUCUAGCUCCAGUGACCGUACGAUGUCCAUCCAACGGCCUUAGUGCUUCUUCAACCUCUGGUCUUCUUGCUCCAGCCGCCCAAAGCAGCGCCGGUCGUGCCGCAUGCUCCUGCCUCCCGUGGCCGGCUGUGCUGCCGCGGAGGCCUCACCGCCCCUACUAUUCCCACCGCUGGCCAGUCCCUGCGGCGACGACAGCCUCACAUCGCAGCCGAACCAGUGAACCCUCAUACUCCUCUCGGCGCGGGCUUCCACUGCCGCGUCUUCCUCGGCUCCGUGUCGUCCCCUUCCUAGGCCUCGCCGUCGUCCACCGCCCUGGUGCUCUCGGCGCGGCGUGGUCAACGUGGUCAAGGAACGGCUUCCAUCGGACGUGGACUGUACGUGGAGAGGCUGACAGCUGGGUCCACGGCCGCAGUAAGGAAGUGCCUCCUUAUUACGUGCAAAAUAAUUAUUCCUCCACCUGACAGCAGGGACCCAUCGGACGGGCCACCGUAUUUCGUGAAAAAAACGUUUCCCCCUGACUGCUGGGACCCACCAGCUACAUCUUCGCAUGCAAGGAAGUGCGUCCGGGCAAAAAAAAACAAUUCGCCCCCCUUACUGCUGGGACCCACCAGCUACAUCUUCGCAGGCAAGGAAGUGCUUGACAGUCGGGACCCACCUGGUCGAAGCGUACGUAGCGUUGUCAUUCUGGUCGAGAACAUGUACGUAUAUACUGGUCGAUGUAGAGGCGCGCACGUGUCAUAGUAGAGGCGUGCACGUAGCAUGUACACGUAUGUACAGCGGCCAGUGUGCAAGAAAGAAAAUACGGCCACGUACGUACAUACGGGCAGGGUCUCGAACACCUACUCGCGCAUACGUACGGCCAGGGCUCGUGUACAUGCCUGGGUCGGAACGGAGAAACAACGUCGUCGUCGUGUUCAUGGGGAGCCAACCGGCUGAGUCGGAACGGAAUGCGUCGUCGUGUUCAUCGGGAGGGCUUGGACGGAACAACCGAUGGAAACGAGGCCUGGCGUACCGCAGAAUGGAGGAAACGGCCUUUUGUUCGACCGGCCACGUUCGAAACAGGAUCCUGUUCAUCGGGAGGGGUCUGGCGUACCGCAAAACGGAGGAAACGGACCUCCUACGGUCGAAACGGGGGUCCUGUUGAUCGGGAGGGGUGUGGCAUACCGCAAAACAAAGGAAACAGACUUGUGUUGGAGCGCUACGGUCGAAACGAGGGUCCUGUUCAUCGGGAGGGGUGUGGCGUACCGCAAAACGGGACUCCACGGGAUACUGUUCAUCUCCACCGUCGACCCCCUCCAGCCUCCACGGGCUACUGUUCAUCCACCGUCGACCUCCUCCAGCCUCCACCUGCGACUGUUCAUCCACGGGCUCCUGUUCAUCCAGCCUCCACUACGCGCUACUCCACCGGCUACUGUUCAACCAGCCCUCUCCACGGGCUCCUGUUCAACUACCCUCCACCGUCUACUGUUCAUCCUGCCCUCCAUGGGGUGGUCCUGUUCAUCCUGCCCUCCACGGGGUCCUGUUCAUCUAGCCCCAACCGGCUCGAUCGAUCGGGGUACUGUUCAUCCAGAGGCAACACCACGGGGUCCUGUUCAUCCACCCCCACCAGGAACUGUUCAUCCAACCCCCCUGCAGCGCUCACUGUGAAGGAAAUAUGCCCUAGAGGCAAUAAUAAAGUAUUAUAUAUAUUUCCUUAUAUCAUGAUAAAUGUUUAUUAUUCAUGCUAGAAUUGUAUUAACCGGAAACAUAAUACAUGUGUGAAUACAUAGACAAACAGAGUGUCACUAGUAUGCCUCUACUUGACUAGCUCGUUAAUCAAAGAUGGUUAUGUUUCCUAGCCAUAGACAUGAGUUGUCAUUUGAUUAACGAGAUCACCUCAUUAGGAGAAUGACGUGAUUGACUUGACCCAUUCCGUUAGCUUAGCACCCGAUCGUUUAGUAUGUUGCUAUUGCUUUCUUCAUGACUUAUACAUGUUCCUCUGACUAUGAGAUUAUGCAACUCCCGUUUACCAGAGGAACACUUUGUGUGCUACCAAACGUCACAACGUAAAUGGGUGAUUAUAAAGGUGCUCUACAGGUGUCUCCAAAGGUACUUGUUGGGUUGGCGUAUUUCGAGAUUAGGAUUUGUCACUCCGAUUGUCGGAGAGGUAUCUCUGGGCCCACUCGGUAAUGCACAUCACUAUAAGCCUUGCAAGCAUUGUGACUAAUGAGUUAGUUGCGGGAUGAUGUAUUACGGAACGAGUAAAGAGACUUGCUGGUAACGAGAUUGAACUAGGUAUCGAGAUACCGACGAUCGAAUCUCGGGCAAGUAACAUACCGAUGACAAAGGGAACAACGUAUGUUGUUAUGCGGUCUGACCGAUAAAGAUCUUCGUAGAAUAUGUGGGAGCCAAUAUGGGCAUCCAGGUCCCGCUAUUGGUUAUUGACCGGAGAGGUGUCUCGGUCAUGUCUACAUAGUUCUCGAACCCGAAGGGUCCGCACGCUUAACGUUACGAUGACAGUUUUAUUGAGUUUUGAUGUACCGAAGGAGUUCGGAGUCCCGGAUGAGAUCGGGGACAUGACGAGGAGUCUCGAAAUGGCCGAGACGUAAAGAUCGGUAUAUUGGACGACUAUAUUCGGACUUCGGAAAGGUUCCGAGUGAUUCGGGUAUUUUUUGGAGUACCGGAGAGUUACGGGAAUUCGUAUUGGGCCUUAAUGGGCCAUACGGGAAAGGAGGGAAAGACCUCAAAGGGUGGCCGCACCCCUCCCCAUGGGCUAGUCCGAAUUGGACUAGGGAGGGGGGGCGCCCCCUUCCUUCUUUCUCCUUCCCCCUUCCCUUCUCCUACUCCCACAAGGAAAGGAGGAGUCCUACUCCCGGUGGGAGUAGGACUCCCCCCUUUGGCGCGCCUCUCCCCUUGGCCGGCUGCCUCCCCCUUGCUCCCUUAUAUACGGAGGCAAGGGGGCACCCCAGAGACACAACAAUUGAUCCUUGAGAUCUCUUAGCCGUGUGCGGUGCCCCCCUCCACCAUAUUACACCUCGAUAAUACCGUUGCGGAGCUUAGGCGAAGCCCUGCGUCGGUGGAACAUCAUCAUCGUCACCACGCCGUCGUGCUGACGAAACUCUCCCUCAACACUCGGCUGGAUCGGAGUUCGAGGGACGUCAUCGAGCUGAACGUGUGUAGAACUCGGAGGUGCCGUGCGUUCGGUACUUGAUCGGUCGGAUCGUGAAGACGCACGACUACAUCAACCGCGUUGUGAUAACGCUUCCACAGUCGGUCUACGAGGGUACGUGGACAACACUCUCCCCUCUCGUUGCUAUGCAUCACCAUAAUCUUGCGUGUGCGUAGGAAUUUUUUUGAAAUUACUACGUUCCCCAACAGUGGCAUCCGAGCCUGGUUUUAUGCGUUGAUGCUAUGCACGAGUAGAACACAAGUGAGUUGUGGGCGAUAUAAGUCAUACUGCUUACCAGCAUGUCAUACUUUGGUUCAGCGGUAUUGUGAGAUGAAGCGGCCCGGACCGAUAUUACGCGUAUGCUUACGCGAGACUGGUUUCACCGUUCGGAGCACUCGUUGCUUAAAGGUGAUUGGCGGGUGUCUGUCUCUCUCACUUUAGUUGAACCGAGUGUGGCUACGCCCGGUCCUUGCGAAGGUUAAAACAACACCAACUUGACAAACUAUCGUUGUGGUUUUGAUGCGUAGGUAAGAACGGUUCUUGCUAAGCCCGUAGCAGCCACGUAAAACUUGCAACAACAAAGUAGAGGACGUCUAACUUGUUUUUGCAGGGCAUGUUGUGAUGUGAUAUGGUCAAGACAUGAUGUGAUAUAAUUUGUUGUAUGAGAUGAUCAUGUUUUGUAACCGAGUUAUCGGCAACUGGCAGGAGCCAUAUGGUUGUCGCUUUAUUGUAUGAGAUGCAAUCACCAUGUAAUAAU